rnacentral:lncRNA from 1 species
CGAGGUUGUCGAGCACUUGCUCCUUUUUAUUUCCUCGAAAUAUUUUUGCAUAGCCCAUGCCUCUAAUGCAAUAAUACUUCGGAAGAGUGAAUCUUACUGAAAUAGUGUCUUGAUCUUGGGAGCAUGAUAAAUCUCUCAACAAGGGUCUAACUCAUUUUGAACAAACUCAAUACAGAGUAGAUAGCUUUUAUAAUCAUAAUUAAUAUUUUUAUUUUUAUCAGGCAUAUAAAACACUGAGGAUGGUAGCUAGAAUUUUGAAUAUUUUGAAAUAAAUUCUCCAAGCAACAAUGAUAUUAAGAAUAAGAAACUCAUACUCUACCAUCACAUAUUCCAUAUUGACUUAAGUAACACAGGGUUUUAAAAUGAUUUUAUAAUAAUCGUAAGUUUUCAGGAAAUAUCACAGAUUGAGAUUAAUCAUGAUUAGAAAUAUUUUAAUCUUUUUAUUUUAUCAUGUCGGAAACAGUAAUCUGCAUAAUUCAAAAUAAAUGUAUGUAUGAAGUAAAGUGUGCAGAGUGUGUACCUGAAUCGUGGAGUGGUGUAGUCGGAGUGUGUUUGGCAUGUUGAGGGAUCUCCCCCAUACUUGUUUUCUGCUUUCUUGCACAAAAAUAAAGUAGAGACACACAAGACAUAAUAAUAAUAAUAAUAGUAGUAGUACUCUUUAUUGAUCUUGAGGCAUUUAGUACAAAAGACUGAUAACAAACUGAUAGCAAACUAAUAAUAAUAGCAAACUUAAACCGAAUUUAAAGAUAGACGACUAAAAUGCAUUGCCUCAAGGUCUAAUCUAGAUAACUUAGCGGAGCUCUAAUUCCUUGAUCUUCUUGUUGGCACUGGCAAGAUCCUGCCUAAGGCCUAGUAUAAUGGUGUUGUGGUUAGAGAGCUGCCUAGUGAGAGAAUUAACUGAGGACUGGAGAUCUAUGAUAAUUCUAUCUAGCCUGCGAACUUCCUCAUCAAUAUCCAUUAUAGUCUUGCGACGCUUGGGAGGUGUCUCAAAAGCAUUGAGAGAAUGCUUCGGGGCUGCCUUUGGAGGGAUGAAACGGACUUUGGCUGCUCUAAUCCCUUCAAAGUAAGGCCUUUCCUCCUCUGAAGUGUAGCGUACGCUGCUGAUCUCGCCGCUCCGGUUGGUCUUGACUCCAACGACCCUCUCAUUGGGUCUAGGUUGAAGGAUUCUUGUGCCGAUUGGCACCUUGAUAGUGGUCUUCGUCUUGGAUGAUGGUCCUUUGAGGAGUAGGGGUUGUGGUGGUGCGGUGAGAACUGGUUGAGCAUGGUAAGAUUGGGCGGAGCUGCGUUGGCGUAAUGGCAUGGCUUCUAGCUGACGCUCUGUGUUGGCCGGGACGAGAGCACGGGCAUCGGGGUCUUCCACUGGCUCCAUGUUGAGGUUGAAGGGGACGACUUCCCAAUCGUCGUGGUACUUGUCGGCCAUUGGAGUAGCAAGGAACUAAUAAAAUUUUAAUUGAAGUAGAGCUAAUUAAGCUCUAAUUAAAGGAGAGCUAAUGAAGCUCUAGUUGAAGGAGAGAAAGCUUGGUGGCUUGGUGUUUGAAAACUGAGGUCUGGGGUCUGUUUAUAUAGGGGUCAAAAGGAUGCCUCUAUGGGUUGUUCGGGUUGCUCCCGUCAAUGUGCGUGUGAAACUUUCCAUCCGAGGGAUUAUUCGGAUCACCCUAAGUGCAUUUUCCAUAACAGAGAAAGUCGGGACUGAGGGGGAAUAGGGGCUGGGUGCCCGCCCACUUGACCUGGGCGCCCGCCCUCUCUCUGGCUCCUCUGUGGGCCCACUUCUCCGAGCACGUUUCUAGAUGCGAAAUUAUUUAGAAAAAUAUAUAUAUGACCCAAAACCAUCAGACCAAAAGUGUCGGGCUCUAAUUCUCCAUGGGAAGGUAAAAAUGGAUUACGUCUAUUUCUUCAAAUUCCUCAUUGGGCUCUAAAAAUAAUUUAAGACGUUGACCAUUUACCUUGAAUAACGUACCUUCGCUGUUUUGAAGUGUGAUAGCUCCGUGGGAUGAUGAAUUGAUUACCUUGAAUGGUCCUUCCCAUUUGCUCCGGAGUUUUCCAUGCCCAAAAAGCUUCACCCUAGAAUUAAAAAGUAAUACCUUAUCUCCGGGUGUGAACUCCUUCUUCUUGAUUCUCUUGUCAUGCCACAUCUUGACUCUUUCUUUGUAGAUCUUUGAAUUGUGAUAUGCCUUCUCUCGCCAUUCUUCCAAUUCUGAUAAUUGCAUUCUUCUAUAAUCUCCAGCAACAUCUAGGUCCAUAUUCCAUCUCUUUAUGGCCCAGUGUGCUUUGAAUUCUAGUUCAACAGGUAGAUGGUAAGUCUUCCCGUACACCAAUUGGUAUGGAGACAUUCCAAUUGGGGUCUUGUAUGCUGUCCGGUAUGCCCAGAGUGCAUCGAGUAACUUGUCUUUCCACGCCGUUCCUAUUUCAUUUACUGUCUUCUGAAGAAUAUUCUUGAUUUGUUUGUUGGAAGUCUCUGCUUGGCCACUUGUCUGAGGAUGAUAAGGGGUAGCGACGUUGUGACGGAUUCCAUGUCUUGAUAGAUAUUGCUUGAAGCAUUUGUCGAUGAAGUGUGCUCCUCCAUCACUUAUCACUACUCUGGGGACUCCAAAUCUUGGAAAUAUAAUUUCUUCAAACAUCCUCUUUGAACUGACGUUGUCGGCAUGCUUGCAAGGUAAUGCUUCUACCCACUUGGAGACAUAGUCAACCGCCACCAAGAUGUACUCACACUUCUUUGAUGGAGGAAAUGGACCCGUGUAGUCUAUUCCCCAGACAUCAAAGAGCUCAAUCUGAAGGUUGUUGGUGAGUGGCAUUGCAUCCCUUGUAUUUAUGUUUCCGUGCCUUUGACAUGGCCCACAUCUUCUGAUAUAUUGCUUCGUGUCUUCAUACAUUGUAGGCCAAUAGAAUCCACACUGCCAGAUCUUUGAAUGUGUACGGAAUGCUCCAUAGUGACCUCCAUAUGGUGAUGAAUGACAUCUGUCGAUGAUCUUCCAUCCUUCCUCAGUGGUCACACAUCUCCUGAGUAAGCCAUCAGAGCAUACUCGGAAGAGGUAUGGCUCGUCCCAUAUAUGUGAACGACUUUCUUGAAUAAGCUUCUUCUUGUUUGCUCCUGGUGGUACAUACCCUGAAACCAUAAAAUUAACAAUAUCUGCAUACCAGGGGUCAGACCUGUUAAUCCCGUAGAGCAUGUCGUCCCGGAGUGAAUCAUUGAUUGGGGUUUCCUGUGGACUCUUAAAAUACAUUCUAGACAGGUGAUCAGCAAUAGAAUUUUCUACUCCCUUUUUAUCUUUUAUUUCUAAGUCAAAUUCUUGGAGUAAUAAAAUCCAUCUAAUCAGGUGAGGUUUAGCAUCUUUUUUAGUGAGCAAAUAUUUUAGUGCAGCAUUAUCAGUGUAAACAAUUAUUUUAGCUCCAACUAAAUAAGAUCUAAAUUUAUCAAUGGCAAAGACAACAGCCAGAAGCUCUUUUUCAGUGGUUUCAUAAUUAAGUUGAGCUCCUGUCAAAGUUUUACUGGCAUAAGCAAUUGCAUGAUGCUUCUUAUCUUUAGUUUGUCCCAAUACUGCCCCCACAGCAUAAUCACUAGCAUCACACAUAAUUUCAAAAGGCAACGACCAAUCAGGGGGUUGAAUGAUUGGUGCAGAGAUGAGUGCUUUCUUUAAUAAAUCGAAAGAUGUUAAACAUGCAUCAUCAAAUUCGAAAGGAGCAUCCUUGGCUAGCAAAAGAGUAAGUGGUCUAGCAAUAAAUGAAAAAUCUUUUAUGAAUCUACGAUAAAAACCAGCAUGGCCAAGAAAGCUCCGAAUUCCUUUUAUAUUCACAGGUGGAGGUAGUUGUUCAAUUACUUCAAUUUUAGCUUUGUCUACCUCAAUCCCUCUUUCAGACACUAAGUGUCCUAGCACUAUUCCUUCUCUAACCAUAAAAUGACAUUUUUCCCAAUUAAGGAUUAAGUGCUUUUCUUCACAUCUUUGCAAAACCUUAUCUAAGUUUUCAAGACAACUAUCAAAAGUUUUUCCAUAAACAGAGAAAUCAUCCAUGAAAACUUCCAUAAUCUCCUCAAUCAUAUCAGAAAAUAUAGACAUCAUGCAUCUUUGAAAAGAAGCUGGUGCAUUACAUAACCCAAAAGACAUUCUACGGUAAGCAUAAGUUCCAUAAGGGCAUGUAAAAGUGGUUUUGCUUUGAUCAUCAGGAUGGAUCGGGAUUUGAUGAUACCCUGAAUAUCCAUCUAAGAAACAGAAGAAUGAAUGGUUUGCUAACCGCUCUAGCAUCUCAUCUAUAAAAGGUAAAGGAAAGUGAUCUUUUCUCGUGGCUUUGUUUAGUUUUCUAUAGUCUAUGCACAUCCGCCAUCCUGUGACGGUGCGUUGCGGAAUUAGCUCGUUCUUUUCAUUCAUAAUAACUGUCAUGCCUCCCUUUUUGGGCACAACUUGGACUGGGCUCACCCACUCACUGUGCGGCACAGGAUAUAUAAUCCCUGCAUGCAGCAACUUUAUAACUUCCUUUUUAACUACCUCUCUCAUAGUGUUGUUAAGUCUACGUUGGGGUUCUCGAGAGGGUGUAACAGAAGGAUCUGUUGGAAUACGAUGGGUACAAAUCAUAGGACUGAUUCCUGUAAGAUCUUGAAGUGAGUAGCCGAAUACUGAGUGAUGUUUCUCAAGAAUGGUCAUUAAUCGCAGAGUUUGAUCCUGAGUGAGUUUAUCGCUAAUGAUCACAGGGAACUCUGGAUUAUUGUUUAGGAAAGCAUAGGUAAGACCAGGUGGUAAAGUUUUAAGUUCUAUGGGGGGUCUAGGUGUUUCUGCAAACUCGUCUAAGGGUUCAGGCUCAGAAGGUUUGUCUUCUUCUUCUGUGAAGAAAGGAGUUUCGUCUUCUAAGUCUGAUUCAUCUAAAAGCUCUAGAGAUGCAGCCUUUACUUCCUCCAUAGGAUCAGGCAAAAGAUAUGACUCGGCCUUAUUAUUUAAGGAGUGUGAAAUUAUUAUUGGGAAUUGAAAAGUUUUUCCAAAAGAAAUGUGUAGCUUUCCAGUAUGACCUUCAUAAAGGAGUAUUCUAAAAGGUUGUCCUAUUAACAGGUCGAAGUCCCAUGUAUCAAAGUUAUAGAAGUUCAAAUGAACCAUGGAGCCUUCUACCGUAAGAGAUAGGACAUUAAUAAUUCUAAGACUGGGGAUUAAUCGUCCCGAAGAUUCCUUUAUGAUCUUUGUUGUGGGGGUUAAGACAAGAUUUUUAAAUAGUUUAAGUGCAAAAGAUUCAGACAUGAUGUUGAUCCCCACAACAGGAUUAUAAAGAGCAUUAAAUCGAUCAGAAUUAUAAGCACAAUGUAUAGUUAUAGAGGGUGUGUCCAAACGGAUCACAUCAGAGGAAAGCUCUGAUUCCUCCAACCAUUCGCUACUCAUUACUGAGAUAAGCUCUCUCAAUUGAUAUUCACUUGGUAAAUAAAUGCUAAAUUGGCCGUUUUGGGGUUUGUCAAUAGAAUGGUAGUUUGAAAUAUUUCCAAAAUCGGCAAAAAGAUCGGAUUCUAUAUCCAGCAUGAAGUCCGGUGGUGGAAUUUCUUCCUCUUGUGGCUCAAAACUUGGGAUAGCUAAAGUAGAUGAAGAAUUUGGCAGAGUGUCUACUUCGGCUUCGUAGGUUUCAUCAUGAAGGGUAUUAUCCAUCUCAGCUUCUAGGAUUCUAUAUAGGAUCACUCUUGCUUUAUCAGCAGGGAUGCAAAAGAAAGAACCUCUAGACAUUGUGUGCAGCAUUUGUUUGUGAUUUUUCUGAAGACCUCGAAAAAAGUGAAAUAAAAGAACAGGGUCUUCAAGAUUAAGGUUUGGACCAGAUUCUAAAAGAUCAGAAAAAUGUUUCCAGGAUUUUCCCAAAGUUUCAUUAUCUUUUUGUUUAAAAGAUAGGACUUCGAGUCUAAGGUCGGCUAUACGGUCAAGGGAAUAGAAAUCUAGACAAAAGUUGGUUCGUAAGACUCCCCAUUCACCUUGUUGUUGACUUACCUUCUGACUGUACCAUUGUCUAGCUUCUCCCCUUAGAGAAAAAGGAAAAAGCUUCCAACGUAAAGUCUUAUCAGAAAUGCCUUCAAUGCGAAGACAAUCACAUGUUUGCUCAAAAUCUCUAAUAUGAAGGUAAGGGUUUUCGUCUUCCUUUCCCGAAAAAGAUAGGUUUUGAAUCAUGGCAAUCAACCUAGAACUUAACUUAUACUGGGAUGUUUGGAUAGGCUGUGAUGAUUCCCAUGGUAAAAGGUCAGUUGCUAAAGGGAUUGCAGACUCAUGGAUCGAUUUAGAAUUUUGGUUUUCCAUAGGGUAAGAGUAAAGAAAAUAAAUAAAGGAUAUAAAAGAUAAGAAAGGAUAAAAGUAUAGAUACAAGCUAAUAGCAAGACACAGGUUAUCUCAGCAACCGUCUUUCUCCUCGGCAACGGCGCCAGAAAUGCUUGUUGAUAUUUGGGAACGCAAUAAGGAAUUGAUCCGCAAGCGCACGGAUAUCGGUGAGCACUUCACCCGGGAAAUUAUCCAGAGUAUCGUAUUUAUUUUUUUACCACUAGGAGAAAGAGUGCAUCUGACUAACCGGUCUAUUACUACUAACCUUUAGGCACAAAGAAUGUCUUUCGAUGUGAGUGAUAAAUAGAGAAGACUGCAACCGUAGUCUCCUUCUAACCUUGGUAAGGAUGAUCUACUGUUCUAAUGGGGAGGCUAACGGAAUCUAGACACCACAAAGGAUGUUCAACCCGCACCUAUAAACCCUAUCCUUCCUGCUAACGAGAUGUGAUCUACAAAGGUAGCUCGGAAUUGUCACGUUCGUCACUACUACCACGGUCCAGCUAGUCAGGGAAUAUCUAUGAGUACCCCAGCCUAAACACCACGUUUACGCCAGCAAUGAUUACUCUAAACUCUACACGAAGAGAUUAAAGUAAACUCAUAAACCAUAAGAACAAUAAAACAAGAACUUACUAGAAUUUAGAAGUCGAAAUACUGAAGAAUCCUAGGAGCAAGCUUCGGGUUAGGAGAACUUGAUCCCGCAGGUACAAGCUUGGAGUAGACACCGACAGGCCGGGCUUCCUCCACUCUUCACCUCCACUCUAUCUCUCUCAAUCUAGUAGAAACUAGAAGAUCUAUUACUACCUUACAUUGAUUGCUAAGCCUAAAAAGAAAUAUUAAUUAGAGAAGGGGUUUUCCUUCGAGGGCACCCCUCAGUCUCUAUGAUAAUUUCUUCAUGUCUUCUCCACGGGCCAGGGGGGCCUUGCUUAUAUAGUCCUCCCCUUCUAUGCGUUUUUGGGUCGAUAGCCGAGGUGGUACUAUGUUUUUCUCGAUCCAAUAGGUCGGUGGAAUAUCCCAAACGAAAGAGUCCUGAUUUGGCUCCAGCAGGGGGGCGGGCGCCCAGGCUUCCAGGGCGGGCGCCCUGGGCCUGGCCCAGUUUUGCCUCCGCUUCGGUCUCGUGGCUUCUGGAGUCUUCUAGAUGAAGUAAAAUUGCGCGGUGCGUUGAUAUCUCUAUGUAAUCCCGACAUGUGGGCCUUUCUUCCUUAUUUCCUGAUAACCCCCUGCAGAAAUAUAUAAACAACAAAACUCGUGGAAUUCUGUCAGAUCAAACCCUAAUUCUAGGUGAUGGUUGCAUAUUGGUCCAUUCUCUUGUUUAUUUGAUAAUUAAAAUUGAUACUUAAGAACCGUCAACAGUGCUUAGACCUAGAUUACUUGUGGAUAUCCCCUGUCUAGCUGGAUUGUGUGGUAGGCCGUGUAGGUGACAGUUACGUUGGUCCCCUGUAGUCCACCUCUUGUUAGCAGGAUGGGUAGGGUUUAUCGGCCUAUGGAUAAGCAUCCUUUGUGGUCUAUUCUUAUCACGUGGUUCGUCCCAGACAUAGACAUACCUCUUUGAAGUAGUGAAACCAUAGUUAUCCUCUCUAUUCUCCGACCAUCGCCCAUAUACUAGAUUACUCUACUCUCUAUUCCCAUAUUAUCACCCAUUGUUAUCUUACCUUUAAUAUUGUUCUUAUUCAAUUCUACCAUCUUUCCUAUUUACACUUAUCUAUUUAUCUUGGUUAAGUUAGAGCGUAGUUGGUUCUCCCGUUUCCCUGUGGAUACGAUAAAACCUUUAACCGGGUAAAAGCUACAAUGGUAUCCGUGCGCUUGCGGAUUUAUCUGUGUGCGUAUAAAUACCAUAGUACACUCUAGUAGUAUGCUGGGGAUGACAACCUAGUAUUCAAGUGGUGUUAGCAAGUGUCAACACCCACAUCCCGAUCUAGAGGAAGCCCGGGCAAAUCAUCAGGGAAUACAUCCGGGAACUCACACACCACCGGAAUAUCCUUGAUGGCCCUAGAUGUAACUGCAUUCAUCGUGCUACGGAUGUGAAUAUCUCGAGGAAGUUGCACUAAGAACGCCUCUUUGGUAUUCGGGUCUCUCAACAUCACUACACGAGUGGUGGUGUCAAUAAGAACUCCGUGGCCACUCAUCCAUUUCAUACCCAGAAUUACAUCUAUACCCACACCGGGUAGAACAACCAGAUCAACAAGAAACUCACGGUCUCCUAUUUCCAGAGUUGCCCCAAAACCACUUGAUUGGUAGAAAUAUUAUUUCCAGCAGCUCUAAUGCAAUAACUACCUUUAUCAAGUGUAACUGCCAUGAGAUUAUGCUUAGACACAAAGUCUGAACUCACAAAAGAAUGUGAUGCUCCUGAAUCAAAAAGCACAAGUGCAUCACAUUGGUUAACUAGAAACUUACCAGCCGUAACUACCUCACCAGCAGGGAUUGCCUCCACAGUCGUAUAGUGAACAUGCCUCUAGCGGACGUUCCCUUGGUUGCCCUUCUUUGGAGGGUAAGGACAGUUGCUCUGCCAGUGCCCGGUCGGAUUACAGUUCCAGCACGGACGGUUGGCAGGUGGAGUCUUGGCAUAACUGGGACCAGUGUUGCCCCUAGGAAGAGCAAUGGAGUAACCCUUGCGGAACCCCAUCUUCGCCUAAUUCUUCUUCACUGGAGGGCGAUAUUGUAGGUUAGGAGUUGGAGCACGAUACUAGGGUUGAGCUGCCACUGGAGCCUUGGACUGAGAUGCCCCUGCCCCGGCCUCAAAAGCCCUCUUGCGAGCCUUGGUUGCAGUGUACACAGUGUUAUAGUUCCCUUGGGUGAGAGCAUCACUGACAAACUCAUUGAAAGUUGCACAAUUUGUGUGGCCCAUGGUCUUCAGCAACUUAGGGCCAAGACCCCUCUUGAAGCUAGCAAUCUUCUUCGUCUCAGUGCUCACAAACUCAAGAGCAUACCUAGACAGAUGAUUGAAAGCAUGCAAAUACUCCUUCAGAGUUUUGUUUCCCUGAGUUAACUGCAUGAACUCAGUAUGCUUCAUCUCCAUGACACCAGGAGGUAUGAAAUGCCCUUUGAAAGCUUCACGGAAGAGAUUCCAGUCAAGCACAGUAUUGUCCGGAAGAGCCUCCUGAUAGUGAUUCCACCAGAUGCCUGCUGGUCCCUGCAGCUGAUGUGCUGCAUACUCAGCCUUCAAGCCAUCGGUCAGCCGAAGUAAGCGGAACUUCUAUUCCACCGUGUUCAGCCACUCCUUAGCCUGAAGGGGUUCUUCAGCCUCUCCGAAAGAUGGGGGCUUGGUAUCCAUGAAAUCCUUGAAGCUACUGUCCUGAUUAGGCACUGGUCCAUUUGGUUCAUUCCGACCACCCUGAUUUGCCAUCUGAUUGAUGGUUUCCAUGAGCAGCCUCUGAUUUUCCACCAUCAUUUGCAUCAGCUCAGCUGGAUUUGGUGGUGGAGGAGGAGGGGGUGGGUUCAUGUUCGCACGCUGCUCCGCACCUCGAGUGCCACGAGACAUCUGUAAAGACACAGUCAGUGAGCAUUGAUGAUGACAAGAUUUGCCAUAGAAGAACUUAUAUUCAUGCAUGAAAGUAUUCGAGCGAAUAACUUUAUAGAAAAAGGCACAAUAAUUCAAUUCCACAAAACAACAUCACCAAUCCAACACAUGACACAGAUAUCCGCAAUAUGCACAACAACGAAAAAUAUCGUCAUAACCGGUCGAACAUGAUAAAGUUAAACAACAUUGGGUCCAUGAAGUUCUUACACCAUCAAAGUACAGACCAUAAGUCAAAGAUCAAGGUUCCGGAUUACAACAUGAUUACAAAAGCAUACUGCCGACAGUCAUGCUACAAAAGGUCCUCAUAGGUUACUCCUAAAUACCCACUACACUCUCGGCUCGUUGUCUGAGUCAGCGUCGAAGAUCGCCUCUCCAUCCUCGUCGCUAACUGGCUCAAGAUCCUCGUCCUCCAUGUCCUCGUGCAAAGGUGGUGCAGCCACGGCCGGUCCAUCUAGCUCCAUGUCGUCAUCAUCGACCACGAUCACCUGAGGUCCCACCUCUAGAUACAUAGGUAUAGGGCGAGGAAUAGGGUGUAGCAAGUUGUUGAGACAGUGAAUCUCCACAAGACCAGCCUCAAUCUGAUCCUUCAGAUAGUUCUCCCGCUCAAGGGACUGGAUCCGGUGCAUCUCCCAAGCCCAGCGCCUGUUCUCCGACACACGGAGCGGAGUAUCCCUCUCACGAGUGACCUGCACCAAGCGCUCCUGCACGGUCUCCUCUCUAGCCAACGGACUCAUCUGGUCCUGCUUAUGAUCUCUCUCUCUAAUGGCCUUCACCCACUACUGCCUACGGUAUUCCGCAAUGUCUUCACAGUCAUUGCGGUCCUUCUGAGCUUGCUCCAGGAGUCUAGCUUGCUUGCGAAACUUGCAAGCAUGCUUUUCAGCCUUCUAUUGCAUAUCCUAAGCACGGCAGACAGCCACCAUCACCUGUGCAUAGGUGUCCUCUCGCUGACUAAACAGCUUGAGCACAACCAUCAUAGCACUCGUAGCAGGACUGGAACUCUCAGCUCGCUCUCCACGACCAUGGACCAACACACAUCCAUCAGCCUGCUUCCACUCCGCUGCUGUUGGAUCAGCCUGGGGAAUGGAGGUCGCUGGCCCUCCUAUCAGCUCAUCAGCAAACCUCCGACAGAUAUUGAGUAGUAUGGCAUGGGCCGCAACCUGAGCUGCUUCCCAUGGAGUCUGCCCAUGUGAGUUGCAUGUCCACCCAGUCCAUGCAGGCCUGCCCCCAUGUCGAGGGACAACUCCCUGCACAGCAAACCACUGCAACUCUCCUAUGAUAUCCACCUCCCACCAAGAAUACUAAGGUGGCUCAGUAUACCCCACAGACUGUAACACCCUCCGGAGCAAUGUAGGGGUGCCAAACUCGCUCAGAAAGGUGUCACUGGAGCGAGGUGAAGCGAGCACGUCCAUUUGUGGAAAGGAAUAACCGUGGGUAAGAGAGGAUUAAUUAAGCAAUAUUUAUUUAAUUUAAAAGGAACGAUAUUUUAAGGGAAGGAGUAGACAGAAUAUAUGUAUGAAUGUGACAUGAUGCAUGCACGAACCGUACGUCCUCACAAACUUAGGAAAAAAUAUUCUUUCGGAUAUACGGUGGCAUACAUUCGUCGCUCGAUACGAUAACUAUCGAUUUACACGUGCGCUGUUAGAGUACCUGCAGAAAACUUCAUUGCAGCCCAACAAUUCCCAAUAUUUCACUCAAGUAAACAGUAAACUAAGUGCACAUUGCUUAUACACGCCCGUCAUGCACAGACAAUGAAACCACAGCUACCCGGGAAUAUAAAUGCUCCCCAAUUAAGUUUCUUUCGUGGUUCCAUAGUUUGACAUGUAACCACUCCAGAAAACCACCACGAACACUCCCCUAGACCGUAGUUUGGAUGAUCAUGCUCUCACAGCUCACACUUACCAGAGCGUAGGUGCGACGUUGCAUAAUUUAAAUAUAGCGACAUAUGUGGCUAAUUCACAUAUGAAGGCUACCUCUACCAUUAGACCACAGGGUAGCAUAGUGCCGUCAUCACACAUCCAUACCUGAGUACGGCCGAAGAUGCAUAAAUAAAACCCCCCAAGUCAGUACUUAAUUAACCACCUAAAGUCCUUAUAUGGGCAAGGAGGAUUCGACAACUGGCAUAACUUAAGUAUUGAUUUUCACAGUUUUAUUUAAAAACCCUUUGUUUUUAAAUACACUAACACUGCAUUUAUAAUGCUGAACUUGCUCUGAUGCCAGCUGUCAUAGAACCGAUCAAAUUAUAAGAGUUCAAGUGUAGAAACGAUCAACUAGCAAUCAAGUUUCUAGACUUGAGCCCAUAUAAUCCCGGUAGUAAACUAAAAUCACGAAGGACUUCAAACCAACUUGCAACAAACCAAGAUCAUAAUAGUUCAACAUAACAUAGCGAAUGUUACAUAGUCAUUCAUUGUCGUCGAAGCGGCACCACAUCGGAGUUACUUAGUCAUUACAACAUAAGUUCAAAGUAGCGGAAGCAAAAUAGUUUACAACACAAAUUCAUUUCAUAAGUUCUUGUUACUGCCAGGGUCUCAUGCCAUCCAUCAAAAGCAACUUGGUACGAAGUAGUUAGAGAACCGUGCCCAAUGGUCUAGUCUUCAUCCCCAGCGGGAUGGAGACAGGUCUUGCAGAAGCCGUCAUAAAAGAUAUCAUCUGCAACAGGUGGGAAUAAACCCUGAGUACGAGGAUGUACUCAGCUAGACUUACCCGUCUAGUAAAACAUAAAAGAGACCAAGGAUCAUGCAAGGCUAAUAUAAAGUGUAGCUGGCUUGACUCAAUAUUUGCCAAAAGCUUAAGUGAAUGUACAUCAUUGUAAAAGCAUCAUAUUAAUCAUCAUUAGCCUACCACUAGAUUAGCACCUAGACUAAAACACUUCACUUGAUUACUACAAACAAUAAUAACCAUAUCAAGUUCAUCAUAUGUCCUUCCUUGCUAUCAUCAUCAUUAUCACGAACCAUUGUACUUUAGUGAAUGCUACGUUUGCUGCUGCUCUGUCAAGUUCUCACUAUCCGGUAGAGACAGUGAUUCGAAUCGAUUCCUAUCCAGCUGGAAGGUUAUUCCUAGCACUCACCCAAGCAUCCCCCGUCGGAGAGCAAGCGGGUCACUUUGGUACGACUCAGGAAUCGCGGCUCCGAUCAGCGCCGCACUCCCAGGGCUACCACUCUGCCAGGGAGGUCAGGACUUUUAACUCACCUGCCUUUGGUCUUACGCCAAUGGUCCUCCGCACACCGCACAUCCUUCGGUAGUGCGCACUUUAUACUUGCCGGUCUUCCAGCCUGAGUCAUACUACUAGGCUUCGCGGUCAGAAUGAGUUAUCCGGCCAACUAAGUGUCAGGCAUGCGUUCAACAUGACAAGAGGACAUACAAGGAUCGGUCCUUAGCUGCCACAGACGGAGUUACUACAACCUUGCAAAACUCCACCCGGCUUAAGUCAUUUUAAUCAGGUUCUUUCCACGAUAGCACUUAUAGACAAUCGUGAUCCGACACAACCCUAUCUCGCGCAGGUGACAGGAUAUCACCCGACUUCUACCGAUUAAAGCAUAGCUAAGCCGCUAUUCGAUCCUAACUCUAUGACCAGGUAUUGGCAAGAUAGCUGGACAAGGAAGAGUAUAAUGCAGCAAGGGUUUCAUCACAACUCCUAUACGUAAUGCAUCAAUAGAUAUAACAUAUUCAAGUAAGCUUUCAAAAAUUAAAGUGGGAGUCUUAAGAUGCUACGGGGCUUGCCUUUCACGAACGAGGCUGGCUCAUGAUUAGGGCACUCAACCUCGUCUUCGGGCUCCUCGUGUCCGGCUUGCUGGACCUCCGCCUCCGGAUUGAUCUCCUGGCCUUCGGAGUUCACCAGGUUGAGCUCGAAAGAGGUCGCCGCUUCCGAUGCACCUAUUGCAUGCACGAUGAAUAAGAAUGUGUGCAUACUAGAUGAGGAUGAAUGCUUGAUAACAUAAUUAAAACUUCACUGGACUCUCGUUUACGGAGUAACUUUCAUAACAAGUUCACACAAGACGACUAAUUAACUUAGCAAAACUUACCAAGUCAAACCAUAAACAGCAAGCAUCACAUAACAGAACAGCUCAGUAAACAGAUCAUAACUAUUGCUAUACAGAUCCAACAAACAUGAAUGAGGACAUUCUGGAAAGCUUAUGAAAUUGUCUAUAUUUCAUCUUUAUACCUCACAGCAAGAUUCAUAAAUUACCCUUGUCAAUUUAACAAAGUUCCAGGUUCUGUCCCAGAAAAACAGAGAACACCUAUUUCUGGAACCCAACUUAGAAAAGCCAUAACUUCAAAACUACUGGACCAAAUGAUCCCAAAUUUAAACUGCAGCUAAUUCAUAAAGUUUACAACAACUUUGAUUUAGACAAGGCUUCCAGAAAACCAAGUUAUCAUCAAGAAAAGGUUAGAUUACUCCCUUGCUGUCCAGAACAGCUUUUAACCCUUCAAUUAAUUAUUUGAUGGCAUAGCCAAAACAUAUUUAGUGCCAACCAAAUGGCUUAAAAGCACAAGAUUACCCUAAGAUUACCAGAACAUCACAUGUUAACCACUUAAACAUUUAAUAACAAGGCAUUUAUUAAUUUAAUUUCAUUAAAGGACAUAAUUACAAGAUACUAGCAACAGUGCUCAGAAAAAUCUACAAAAGUUACAGAAACACAUGCAUAGCAUCAUGACAUUACCACAAAAUUUUCAGAGCAAUUGCACAUGCCAAACUUAAGAUAAGUAAUUAACAUAUAACAAGGUGCUUAUUUCAUAAAUUAAGAAACAUGGCUUAGAUGGUGUCAAACAACAGAUUUCAGAUUAUUCACAUGUUACUAUUACCAUAAACAAGAUUGGCACCAAAGUAGAAUAUCAGCACAAGCAUAAAUCAUUUAUUAUGAUUUAAAUAAGAAAACAAGCCAUAUCCCAAACAGCAAUUACGUAUCAAAGAUACAUUACUCAAAAAACCAUGAAAUAUUUAUCAUAGCAUUCUCAUACCACUCAGAGCAUAGCAUAAAAAUUUCAUAGCAAAAGGAGCAGUAUAUCAACAUAUAUGAACAUAUACUUAAAUAACAAGAUUAAAUCAUAUCAAUUAUUUUUCCCAGAAAAAAUGGUGUAUAUUAUAUUUUUAUUAAACACUAACCAUCUCAUGGAAUAUCAUAAAAUUUGUUUCAUUUUGGAUCUCAGAAACUGAAGAUAUGAUUUUUGUAAGAUUGCAAGAAAUCUGGAUUUGAAUAAAAAGAAAGGAGGGGACCGUUGAGUCACUGACAGCGGGUCCCGCGCGUCAGCGACCCAGAGACAGGGGACACCAUCGCCGGCGAAUGCUCGCCGAUGGUGAGCUUCUCCCGCGGAUCCAAGGGCACCAACGUGUUCCUGGAGUGAUUCCGCAUCGAUGGAGGUAGGUGACACUAGGGUUGCAGCGACGGAGAGGUGUCGCCGUCGGCCAUGGCGGCACGGUGGAGCUACCUCGGCUUACGCCGGCCAUCUCCGAUCGGUAGAGCGUCGGGGAAGAGCGGCCUAAGCACCAGUGAACUACGGCGAAGCUUUCUAGGUAGAAAUGCCUAACCCUAAUGGCUCCGGUGAGUCUGCUCAUGUGCGGGGUGCUGUCGGCAGUUAGCGCGGCGGUGCGGCGGCUGUGUUCCCGCACGACGGUGGCACCAAGGCUGGAAUGGCGUGGCACGGACCACAACCGAGAACUAAGCAGACUCUUACGCGACUCGAAAGGAAGAAGGAUGCCAAGGAUGGAGCAGCGCGCGGUUCGCCGGAGUCGGGGUCGCGACGGCCGUGAACCCGACGACGGCAACUCACGAAAUGCAGCUCACCUCGGGGAGAUCUCGUCCAACGAAGGGGUGGAGAAGAUGGAGGAGCUCGAGGUGGACUUGGAGACGCUCGGAGGUGAGGUGAGACGCGAAGACGCGCGGGCGAAGCGCGCGCAGCUCUCGGCGACAAUGGCGAUGGCGUUUCCGCCGUCGGAGUCGCGCGCGAGAGAGGGAGGGAGAGAAUGGACGAGCGCUGGGUGAGUGCGGUGUGUCGUGGCGUCCAUGACAGCACCGACGACCUGACGAGUAGGGCCAACGCCAGCAUACGGUCGACAAAUGGCAGCCAGGUGCUGCGCUGGUCGGCCACGACUGCGAGCUCGGCUCCGAUUGAGACAAAACGAUGACCUACUGAAACCCAAAAUUUGGCCUCGAUUAACUCCUAAACCGAUCGAUGAUUUUGCUGGCUAAUUGCUCCAUGCUGUAGAGGUACAUGAGGACUCCAACAUUGCUUACAAGAUCAAGACUUGAUUCGGCCUAGAUUUCAAACUGGGAGCUAAACAAAACACCUUCGAGCAAACUGGUGUGAUCCCAGACUCAGAAAAUUUUCUAAGUGAUGGAAACAGCCCCAAAUCUGCCUUGUGGUUCACUUUUGAGCUAGAUGUGGUCAUUUUCAUGAGAUGGCCAUAAAAGAACUUUUGUUCCUAAUAAAAUGUGCUACAACUUUGCUGUAGAAAGUUUUGACAUGCAAACAAUUUAUAAAGCACUUUUUAAAAUCCUAAGCAAAAGAGGUUUCUAGGGCAUAUACAAGGAGGUAUGACUUAGGUGCUUAAUUUGGAGAAGUGAUCAACAUGAACAUUGUUCCAAAAGUCAAGUUAAGCAUAGAUAAGCUAAUUACCAAGGCAUAGCACACAAAUAUGAGCAUGACACAAGCAAACAUAAGCAUAUAAAGCAUAUUUAGGCAAUUUAAGUCACACUUUUGCAUGAAAUGACAUGACCCAAGGUAAAUGAUGAUCAUGGUAUGCUUAUAAAGAUGAUGAUGUUCAUGUUAUGCAUGUGAAUGAUGCAACCAUAGCACUGGGGUGUUAAAGAAGACACCAUCCUUCAAUCGGGGAAGUUGAUUGUGGACUUGCGUGUCAAAAAGACGGAGCUAGCCUGCUCUCAUAAGAGGGUCGACAGGUGUUGACACCGCUUUUGAGUAUAAGUCAAGAUGGUUGAGGAGAGUUCAUCGGUAGUGGAGAAGUUGCUAUGCUAGAUCAAUAGAAGGGUGCUGAUAGCCGAUUUCAAUGAUGUCGAUGAUGGGCGGUAGUUGGUUGAAGGAUGCUGCUAGCCUGGGGAUGGAGAUGACGACUACAGAUUGUUACCGAUUGAUCGCCGAUGCCGAUGGAGGACGAUUGGUCGCCGAUGCCGAUGGAGGAAGGUGUGAAGUUAUUGCUAAAAAGUUAUAUAUGUGCCGAUGGGACAAGAGUUAGUGAAGUCUUAGGACAAGAAGCCGAUGAAAACUUGAAGCAGGGACAAAUGAGGAUUUCAUCGUAAUUAGGAAGGACAUAGGAGUAGAUGAUUAUUCCUUUUUCUAUAAUUAUUUAGAAAUGCCAUAUAUGUAAGAGUCUCGUUUACUUUAGUUGAAUUUGAGUCAUGUUCAAUUGUAACUCUUAAGGGCCAGGGUAUAAAUAUAAACCCAGCGACAAUGUAAAAUAUAUCAAUCAAUACUAUACACAAGCUUUACAUCUACUUUUACACCUACUUUCGACGAUUUUGUCAACUCGCAUACUUUUUCUGUUUACCAGUUCUCAAGGAUUCGACAAGCAACACUCGACGAUUUCUUGAGUUCCGCGUGAGUACCUCUUAGACGUGACAUCCGGGCGUAUCGCUGUUGUCACGAUCAAAGUAUUCAAGUUAUCACCUUCGUCGAUUACUAGGUCAAAUCUGCUGGCACGCCUUGAUAUCGAAAUUGGGUAUUAGCCAUUUGUGUUUACAGAUUUAUUUUUGCAUCAACAAAGAUCGACAUGCCUACUUCUGGUCUUGACAUAGACAACGUCAUCGGUGUGACAGAAGCUGAUCUUAGAGAAGAACAGAAGCAAGCUGUGGAGAGGGCUAUGAAGGAAUACAGGCAACACUGUCUGAAAUCCUUCAGCGUGAAUAGGAGCGGGGAAGUUAUCUAAUCCUGGUCAAUUGCAAGACAUGGUUACCUUUGAUCCUAAUCUUGGUAAAUUCCAAGACAUGGUUAAUAUUGUUGUUAAUCAUGCAUUGAUUAAUCACUCCAAUGUGCUGUCCAAUACUGUUUACAAUGCUGUGGUCCGAACUUUUAAAGAAGGAUAGACACCACCACUUUAUGCUGGCCUGACCUAUCAUCAGCUAGGAUUAUCAUCGGUUGUGACUCCAUCGGCUCCUUCAGGCUUGCUGGUACAGAGGUUACUUCUCCUCCAAGCACAGCAGGGUUGGCUAAUGAGCAAUCUACACCGAUGAGAUCUGAUCCAAUGACUUCAGGGGGACGGGUCCAGCUCAACAUAGAUUUAUCGGCAUCGGCUAUGUUAUGGUCUAUAUUUUAGAACUGUCAGGUUCCCCGCAACUGGUGGGCAUAUGGUAUGCCUCCAGAGUUUUUUGCAAAUAGUUCUAGAACAUCUUAGGUAACUGACUUAGCAGAGAAAACUCUGAUGCCAUCGGCACCUCCAGUCUCGCCGAUGACUCAAAUACCUCAGUAUUCUACGACAAUUAAUGUGAGGCCAAUUACUAGGAAUUUUUAGGCGCCAACAUUCCAGAUGCCUAAUGCAAACUCGUCAGCCAAUCCAUUGCUGACGCAACAAAGGUUUAUGUCUUAGGCAAGUUAUGUCAAUCCAGCAAUGACAACUAAUUACCAGCCAUUAGCAAAUCUUGGGCCGAUGAAUACCAAUAAUGGUUGGACAGGGAAGUUAGUCUUCCCACAUACGACACACCAGAAUCAAGGUUGCAAGAAUCCAACAGGGUCAUAUGCAUGUUGGUUUUCAGGUCCAGGCACCGGCAGUUCAACCGAUGAAUCUUGCUCAGUAGAUCAGUGGUCCGCAUGCUAUGGCCAAUAUGAAGUUUGCUGGAGACCGCGUACCUCAAAGACACGUGGAAGCAUAUCAACAUGUGCCAUAAGUUCAACCUGUACAUCAGUAAGAUGCCGAUGCCUAUUGGGCUGAUAAGAUAGCAGAAGUUAUGAGAGAUCAGUUUGGGAUAAAACCCAAGGUUAAUACUUAUUCUUAUCGGACACCAUAUCCUCCUGCAUAUGAUUUAAUUCCACUCCCAAUUCGGUACAAGGUACUAGACUUCACUAAGUUCUCUGGACAAGAUGACACCUCAACUAUGGAACAUGUUAAUCGAUUCAACAUUCAAUGUGGAGAGGCUGCCAAUAGAGAUGAAUUAAGGGUUCGCUUAUUUUCUUCAUCCUUGUCGGGAUCGGCUUUUACCUGGUUUAUUUCAUUACCUCCAAAUUCAGUCAUUACCUGGGCCGAUAUAGAGAAACAAUUUCAUAAGUAUUUCUUUUCAAGAGUUUGUGAGAAGAAGCUUAUUAACUUAGUGAGGUUGAGACAACGUAAUAAUGAAUCGGUGGAGAGCUUUGUGCAGAGGCUACGGGAUAUAAAGAACAAAUGUUAUAUCUUGGUUCUGCAUGAUCGACAAUUAGCCGAUUUGGCUUUUCAAGGAUAAAUAUGCUUCUAAAGAAUUUGAAAGUUGGAGUCAUUUGGUGCAGAGGAUUUCUGAUCAAGAUGUCAAGGCUUUUCAACCUAUAAGGACUAGUAAUAAGAAGGUAUGUCAAUGAGGCAGGAUGUUCUGAUUCUAAUGAAGAACCAGUCAUCGGCUUGGCAGAGUGGGUGAAAAAUAAGAAGCUGAUGUCUUGUCCUUUUAGCCAGAAGAGCCAGAGAAAUUUGCUUUUGAUAUCACUAAAGCCGAUAGGAUAUUUGAUUUCUUACUUCAGGAGGGGCAGAUUAAAUUGUCACCUAAUCAUGUAAUUCCAUCGGCAGAGGAACUGAAAGAGAUUAAGUAUUGCAAAUGGCAUAAUGCAAAAUCACAUAGUACAAAUGAAUGUAAAGUGUCUGGUCGGACUUCACAGCAGUUGCAAUCGGCUAUAUAGUCUAGGAGAAUCAAGUUUGAUAGUUCCAAAACUCAGAAGCUGAUGAAAAUUGAUCAGCACCCUUUCCCCACAAACAUGUUGGACGCCAAAGGCAAGACUAAUGUCUUAACAUCAGAAACGGCUAAGAAGAAUGCAUCGAUAGAUCCACAACAUCAAGUAACUACUGAUGACGCCAAAGGAAAGGGUUUAUUAAGGGAAGGUACCAGUUCUGGACGACCUCCCUGAUCUGGUAUUGUAAUUACCCAUAGACAGCACUGGAAACAUGGUAGCAACGUGAGGAUUGGUAUCGGCGUCAACAAGAAGAGAGGCAGCGGGAAGAAUGGAAUCAGCAUAAAGAUCAUUGGGAUUGCCCGUUCUUCAUUCACUGCUGGGAACGAAACAUCAAAUUGCCGACCGUUCAGGAUUGUCCCAAAUGUAAUGGUUAUCGUCGGUACGAUCGGUGAAAUCAGAGGUUCCAGAACAAUAAUCGACGUUUCAAUGAGCCGAUCAGGGGGAGAACGUCAGUUCACGAUCGGCUAGGGGCAGGCUUAACGUGCAUGAUAGGCUUGGUGGGCAUGUUAGUCAUUUUCCGAGGAAUCAGUAGGAACUUGAAGAAAUGGCAAACGCACAGUUCCUGAUGAUUUCAUAUUUUGGAGAGAUUCUAAGAUUCAUCGUGUAGAGUCGAAGGAGAUUCGUUAUUAGCCGGUUUGGAAGACAAAGGUUCCCUGAUGGUGCCUAGAAGGUUUAACAAUAACCCAGAGGAGAAGGACGCAACAGAAACAUCUGGAGGAUUUAUAUAGAGAAGAAAAUUCUUCUAAAUCUAAAGAUCGACAGUAGUUGGACCGUAAGGGGAAAGGACCAUCGGCAGACGUCAAUAUGGUGUUCAUGUUGCCGAUGGAAUUUCUUGCACCCUCUAGUGAUGAUGAGGAAAUUAGUCUCCCUAAUCAAAUAGCUCAGUUAGCACUUGAUCCAAUGACAGCUAUUUUUGAGAAGCCCUCCGUUGAUGAAAGGCAGCAUCUUAAAGCUUUUUUUGUUAAAGGCAGGGUUGAUGGGCAGCCAGUUUCUAAAAUACUUAUUGAUGGAGGGGCUGCAAUUAAUAUUAUGCCAUAUGUGAUGUAUCAGAAGCUUGGUAAAGGAGAUCAGGAUUUAACCAAGACCAAUAUGAUGUUGAAAGAUUUUGAAGGUAAUGUGUCUCCGGCUAAAGGGGCUAUACGCGUUGAAUUGACUAUCGGCAGUAAGACCAUGCCGACAACUUUUUUUCUCAUCAAUGGAAAAGGCGCGUACAACCUACUGCUGGGGAGAGAUUGGAUUCAUGCCAACUGUUCUGUCCCUUCUAUGAUGCAUCAGUGCCUUGUCCAAUGGGUAGGCGAUAAAAUUGAAGUUGUUCCUGGGGACUCUUCCUACAUCAUUGCAUUGGCAGAAUCAGAUACUUAUGAGCAAACCAUGUUGUUGACGGUCCUUAAGUAUCAAAUUUAAUUAACAAAUAAAUAAAGAAAAGGAUCUAAAUGCAACCAACAUCCAGACUUAGGGUUUUAUCUGACCGAAUUCCAUGAGUUUUGGUGUUUGUCUAUUUCUGCAGGGGGUUAUCUGGAAAUAUGGAAGAAAGGCCCACAUGUCGGGAUUACAUAGAGAUAUUAACGUACCACACAAUUAUCUUACAUCUAGAAGACUCCAGAAGCCACGGGAACGAAGCGGAGGCAGAACGGAGCCUGGCCCAGGGCGCCCGCCCCUUGCUGGAGUCCAAUCAGGACUCUCUUUCGGGAUUACGCUCAACCGACCUAAAGGAUCAAGGAUAACCGUUCAAUCAAUGUCGGUUUGAUCCGACGGCCCAUACUCACUUGGAAGGACUAUAAAACCAGACCCCCUGGCCCCUGGAGGAGGAGAGCUCUCAACCCUAAUUUAUUAUUCAUCAAGGGAGAAGAAGCCUCUGGUCAAGCCUAGAGCCACCACAUCAAUUAGACAUCUAGAUUAGCAUAGCUACAAAGGAUUAGAACUAGAAGGAAUCAAUCUUCGAUUGGUUUCCGGAUCUGUCAAGAGGAUUCUUGGUAAUUCUCUAUUGUUCCUCAGUUGUUAAUCUUUGUUUUUCAAUAUUAUGAAUAUGACUUUGUUCUACUUCAAUAUAUUGGUUAUGACUUUGCUCUACUUGUUUAUAUUCACAAUUAUAUUGUUCUUAGUUUAUUCAUAGUUAUAUACUUGGCUUAGUUAGAUUGGAAUUAUAUACAUGUUUAGGAUCAUAUAGCGUUUAUCCAUCGGAUCCAUGGGUAAAUGAUAGAUAUUGUGUAGGCGUGGUGCUUAUACCGUAUUUAUCUGCGAUUGUACCCUAUGUGCCAGAUCGCGGGGUAGUUCGUGGUAGUGACAGCUCCAUUGAUUCUUAUAUAGUCCGACUCUCGUGUAUUGGGCUGGCAGAGCAACAUUAUUACAGGGGAGUGAUUGCGAUCUUUCUUAUAUUCCUUGAUAAUAUCACAAUGCAUGGGCGUAGUCCUGUCCCACAAUGAUUGCUAAGUAUAAUUGCACUAACUAUGAUAUGCUAGACUGUAUAGUUAAGAAUAACUUAGGCAAUAUUCUUGUAGUUCGUCCUAAUUCCAUGCUAAUGACUUGCUAGAAUAUCUAAUUGAGGUGCUUAUCAUAUUUAUAUGUGUCUAAGUUAUGCUGAUCAGAUUAAUUAUCUUUGUCACUAUUCAUUACUUUAUAUAUCCUUUAUGUGACACUUAUCCCUGUAUGAAAGAGAUAGAUAAAUGUUCUCAAUUAUACAUGCAAUGAUAGAUACUCAAUCUUAUAUUCCAUUCUAUAAUCAACAUUGAUGUUUAGCAAUCCCUUCCCAGUGGUAAAAAUAUAAAUAACGAUACCUGGAAUACUUCCUGGUUAAAAUGCUACAUCGGUAUUAAUCUUUGCGCUUGCAGAUCCCAUUUGUUAUUUAUCUAGAUGAGCAAUUGCAUAUUUCAAUACCGCGUCUCUCAUGCCAUGCUGCGGAUGACAACUUGGCUUAAGUGGUAUGAGGGAUAGGUUUGGCAUUUUUGGCGCUGUUAUCAGAAUUAGAAAACUAAGUCUAUUUUUGGUAAUGAUGUUAAAAAUACCCAACACACGUGCAUAUCGAGAGAUGCUUGGGAGAAAGAUUUACUCAAAGUUGCCAAUUAUGAGAUUCCACCAAUCCAAGUAGUCGGUUCUGAUGAGGAGUUUUGAUGGAUAGGUUCGCUGAUGAUGGAAAGUUAGGACAGGGGUUUACAUCGGCUGAUGAUUUAGUAGAAGUAGACAUAGGUAGUGGUGAUAGGCCGAGGCCUACUUUCAUUAGUGCUAAGCUAGAUUCUGGAUGUAAGCAACAGUUUAUUGAUUUGUUAAAAGAUUAUAAAGAUUGCUUUGCUUGGGAUUAUUCUGAGAUGUCUGGAUUAGACCGAUCGAUUGUUGAACAUCGGUUGCCUAUUAAAUCUGGAUUUCGGCCACAUCAACAACCAGCGUGCCGAUGUAACCCUAAAAUUCUUCCUGAUAUUAAGGCUGAAAUAACCAAACUAAUUGAGGCUAAGUUCAUUCGGCAGUGUCGGUAUGCUGAGUGGAUUUCUAAUGUUGUUCCUGACUACAAGAAAAAUGAAAAUUCGUGUAUGCAUUCAUUUUAGAAAUCUUAACAAAGCUACACCGAUGGAUGGUUAUCCGAUGCUAGUUGCCAGUUUGCUGGUUAAUGCUGUAGCUGGGCAUCGGAUUAUUAGCUUCAUGGAUGGCAAUGCAGGGUAUAAUCAAAUAUUCAUGGCUAAAGAAGAUAUUCCCAAGACUAUGUUUAGGUGUCCUGGUCAUGUUGGGUUAUUCGAGUGGAUACUUAUGACUUUUGGCUUGAAAAAUGCUGGUGCUACUUAUUAGAGGGCUAUGAAUUUUAUUUUUCAUGAAUUCAUCGGCACGUUGGUGGAAAUUUAUAUUGAUGAUGUGGUGGUUAAGUCUGGGGAUUUCAUAAAGCAUUUAGCCGAUCUGUGAAAAAUACUUGAAUGCACAAGGAAACAUGGUUUGAAGAUGAAUCCUAAUAAAUGUGCAUUUGGUGUAUUGGCAGGCCAGUUUCUGGGUUUCAUGGUGCAUCAGAGAGGAAUUGAAAUUAGUAGAAGAUCCAUUGAUGCAAUCAACAAGGUGGUAAGGUCAAAGCAAUCAACAAGGUGGAAUUGAACUUCAAUCUUUGAUCGGCAAGAUUAAUUUUAUCAGACGAUUUAUAUCUAAUUUAUUAGGUAAGCACAAAGCUUUUAAUCCUUUGCUCAAGUUAAAAGCUAAUCAAGAAUUUGUAUAGGGAAAAGAGCAACAACUAGCUUUGGAUGAAAUUAAGAAAUAUUUGAUCAAUCCUCUGGUACUGGUUCCACCUCAAUAUGGGAAACCCUUCAGAUUAUACCUAUCGACCGAUGAUACGAUUAUUGGUUCGGUCGUUAUUCAAGAAUUUGAAGGGAAAGAACAUGUGAUUUAUUAUUUAAGUAGGAGAUUGGUGGAUGCCGAGUUAAGAUAUUCGGCUAUUGAAAGGUUAUGCCUAUGUUUGUACUUUUCCUGUGUUAAGUUGAGGCAUUAUUUGCUAUCGGCCGAAUGUACUGUCAUAUGCAAGGAUGAUGUAGUCAAAUACAUGUUGUCAAUGCUGAUUUUGAGUGGAAGAAUUGGUAAGUGGAUACUAGCAUUGUCAAAGUUUGACUUACGUUACAAAUCGGCCAAGCAGUCAAGGGACAGAUUAUGGCCGAUUUUGUUACCCAAAAAUGCAGUUUGGUAGGCUCUUUGGAGAUUGCUCCUUGGAUGCUUUUCUUUGAUGGGUCUACAUGUGAGCAAGGUGCAGGUAUCGGUGUAGUGUUAAUUUCUCCCCGAGGAAAGAAGUAUGAAUUUUCAUUACCGAUUGUUGCGACAUCAACAAACAAUCAGGCCGAAUACCAAGCUUUGGUGAAAGGAUUGGAGUUAUUAAGAGAGAUUCGUGUCGAUAUUGUUGAAAUCUUUGGUGAUUCCAUGCUUAUUAUAAAUAAGUUGGUUGCAGUUUAUGAAUGUUGAAGUGAAAUUUUCAUAUUGUAUUUUGAAAGGUGUUUGCAGUUAUUAAAGGAAUUCAGGGAUUUCUGUUUAGAACAUAUUCCCGAUUAAAUAAUGAAGAAGCUAAUCGGUUGGCUCAACAUGCUUCGGGAUAUCAACCUAUCUUAGAGGUAUUAUCAUCAGUGAUCGGCGCCGAUGAUUGAAGAAAGGAGAUCAUUGAUUACCUAAAAGAUCCAUCUAAAAAAGUUGAGAGACGUGUUAGAUUUCAAACCACCAAGUAUGUACUUCUUGAUGAUGAGCUAUAUUAUCGUACUAUAGAUGGAAUUUUGCUUAACUGUCUUGGUGAUGAUGGAUCAAAAAGUUUGAUGGGUAAAAUUCAUGAGGAGGUAUGUGGAGCACACCAAUCGACUUUUAAAAUGAAGUGGAUGAUUAGAAGUAAUGAAUAUUAUUGGCUGACUAUUCUUGAGGAUUGUUUCAAAUAUUUCAAAGGAUGUCAAGGAUGUUAGAAGUUUGGCAAUAUUCAGAGAGCACCCGCAUCGGCUAUGAAUCCUGUUAUCAAGCCUUGGCCAUUCUAAGGAUGGGCUAUUGAUCUCAUCAAUCAGAUUUAUCCGCCAUCAAGCAAGGGGCAUAAGUUUAUUCUUGUAGCUAUCGAUUAUUUCACUAAAUGGGUUGAAGCUCUUCCUUUGAAAAAAAGUCACAUCAGCUAACAUGAUUGAUUUUGUUAAGGAGCAUAUUUUUUACCGAUUAGAAAUUCCUCAGACAAAUACUACCGAUUGUUGAUGGUAUUUUCACUAUGAUUUUUGACCACUAAAACCGUCAACAAAGGUUAAGUUUUGGGGAUAACACCAAGCAACUAUGUAGUGACUUAGGUACAAUUCACCUGGUUCCACAUGUACAUGUCAUUAUUUGGAUGCAGGUGCAAACAGCCCCUAAUCAAGCCUAAUCAAGCUAAAAUGAAGCAAAGAUGAUCAAGAACCAAAACCAUCACAUAUCAACAAAACAUUGAAGAUGACAAGUGGGGACAACAUGUGGAGCAAGGUGGUGGGCCAACCCCCCAAAGUGUAGGUCGGCCGACCUAUAUUUGGUGGGCCCCCACAUGGCUCACACUCCCACCGACCUCAACACCGUCUAGAAGGCUGGUGGGGCCCACAUGGAAGCAAAAGGUCGGUAGACCGACGUGUGAUGUGGGCCCACCUUGAGUCGGUUCACUCCAACCGACAUCCCCAUGAUCAACAUGUGAUGGAAAUUCCCAACCAUCAAUCAUACGGCGGUUCCAAGGUCGGUUUGAUCCAAUGGUGGAGAAGAGGGAGCACGUGGAUCGCUAACGUGGCGCUGGAGUAGCCCCUACUCCAUCUCCCCCUAUAAAUACCCCCUUAGAGAGCCUAUUUAAGCAUGAUGUAUCUUAGGAAGAGCUACUCUUAGCUAAGUGUGAGAAUAGAGGGAAGAGAGUGAGGAGUUCCCCGAGGAGGAGUCUCGGCUUGUCGGGAGUCUUCUUCCAAGAGCGCCUCCGUGGAUGCUUGUUUAUAGUAAGUCUUCUUUCUAGUUGCCUUUCAUCUGAGUACUUCUAGUAUUUACAUUCUGUCUUAGUUUAUUUUAAGUAUACAACUGGCCUACUAGCACAUUGCUUUACCUUGUGUGAAGUGCUCGAAACCUUAGCUGGGUCUAGAGUAGUAGAAUUAGUGUAGACGUGGUGUCUAGACUAUGUUUGCCGUUGUGAACUUCUUGUCGCACAUGAAGAACGCCAGCAGCGAAGCGUGACAAACCUCUACUCUACAUUAGGAGUUCUCUUCAGUGUCUUGUUAGGCAAGUUGCAAAUAAUAGUUGGCCUGCAUGGUAGCUGCCUAGGGAAGUGUUUCGCCAUACCCUUUUCACCUAUCGGCCACAGUAGGAAGGGAGUUAACUCUCAGUAUACUUAGGAUAGCUUAGCCAGAAGCAAAAUACUAGAAAUACCUCUCCACCCAAUCCUAAGCCCUUUGAUCAUCAUCUGACGAGUUAAUUGGUCUAGUUAAUCAACUUCUCAUUUCUCGUGGAAAAUACGAUACCUAGAAUACUCCUGGUGAAGUGCUACAUUGACAACCGUCCGCUUGUGGUAAAACCGUUUGCCACUUCUGGUGUCACACAAGCAUUUCUAGUGGUGUGCCAAGGACUAACAAUCCUAGGUAGUGACGCUAAGAAGAGUCAACAAGCAUUUCUAGCACCAUUGCUAGGGAUUGAUAGCUUGUUAACUAGACUCAAAGUCGUCAAGUUAUCCUUGUUUGAUUAGAACCUUUACCUAUCCCAUGGAUCAAACAACCAUCUUUGACUACACUGCUCCAUCGGGUGCUGAGCUGGAGCCGCCUAGUUCUUCUCAGGCCAGUUUGGCCAUUCGUUAUGAGCUUUGCCCAAGUCUCAUAGCGAUGGUUCAGGAGAAACCCUUUUCAGGAGAAGGAGAUGAAAAUCCCUAUACCCACUGUUGACGGUCCUUAAGUACUAAAAUUAACCAUCAACUAAACAUGGAAAAGGAUCAAUAUGCACCGAACAUCUAGAAUUAGGGUUUUAUCUGACAGAAUUCCACGAGCUUUGGUGUUUAUCUAUUUAUGCAGGGAGUUAUCAGAGAAUAUGGAGAGAAGGCCCACAUGUCAUGUUUACAACGAGAUAAUUACGUGCCGCGCAAUUUUCCUCAAUCUAGAAGAGUCCAGAAGCCACGGGAACAAACGAGAAGACGAUCGGGCUCGGGGGCAGGGCGCUCGCCCACCCCCCUUGGGCGCCCGCCCAGGGUUAGAGUCCAAUGAGGACUCUCUUUCGGGACUAAGCUCCACCGACCUAAAGGAUGAAUCUAAACCAUACAAUCAAUGUCGGUUUGAUCCAACGACCCAAAUUCACUUGAAAGGACUAUAUAACUAAGGCCUCUCCACCCCUGGGGGAGAGAAGAGAAGAGAAGAAAUCAUUAUCAGAGGUAGCCAUCAAAGUUAGGGUUUAGAGCUUCUCUCCCACAGAGAAUUAGAAUUAGCUACUCCCUAAUCCUUCAAGUUUAGAGGUUUGAUUAGAUAGCAAUUAGAGAAGUAGAGCACUACGCUCUGGAUUCGGAUCUUCGGUAAUAAAGAUUGGUAUUAUUCAUAUCUUUCUCUAAUACUUUGUUCUAAUUACAUUAUGUCUCUAUUUAUUAUGAUCUUAGUUUGCUCUAGUUCUAUAUUUGAUAUAGAUAUGAUUGAUAAUGAGUUUAUGUAUAAGUUUGCAAAGCGCUUAGCUUUCGACGCGAGGGAGUUAAGUGGUAGAUCACAUGUGGGCGUGGUGCUUAGAUGUUAUUUACAUGCAAAUGUAUCCUAUUGGCCGGGUCGUGUGGUAGUUUGCGAUAGUGACAGCUUCGUUGAUUCUUAUAUAGUCCACCCUCCGUCGAUAGGACAGGCAGAACUUGUAUUGCGGAGUAAGUCUUGCGCUGUUCUGAUUUACUUUAGCAAUGUUCCUUAUACAUGAAUGAAGAGUCUUUUAUGCUAUACAUGAUCUUGUAGAUAACUAGAGUAGAUUAUGACUUAGUAGAUAGUAGAUAACUUAGAAUCCAUUCUCUAGCUAAUCCGACGUCACCUACAUAUAUGAGGAGUAGUCUAUUUUCUAAUCGCUGUAUGAUUUACCCUUGAACUUAUAAUUCAUUAUCAUUAUCUUUAUGGUUUACCCCCUGCUAAAGUAAGUGACUGUGUGACGAGUUUCUCAUUAGUAAUCAUGUUCUUGCAAGUUUAUCUCUAGUCUAUGCCUUGAUAGAUUUUUCCCUUAUUUUAAUUUCAUCCCUUUUUGUUCUCUUAAGCAAAAUUAUAAAUAACGAUACCUGGAAUACUUAUCCUGGUGAAAUGCUACAAUGAGUUGUUUUAUCUGUGCGCUUGCGGAUAGAAUAGAUUAUUUUCUAGAGAGCCUUUGCAUUUAUAAAUACCUUUGUACACUCUGGCACCAUGCUGGGGAUGACAACCUAGUAUCUAAGUGGAGUUAGCUAGUGUCAACAAGCAUUUCUGGCGCCGUUGCUGGGGAGCCAAAAGGAUAACACAUAGGAACGGUAAGGAAAGUCAGGAAAUCAGUCAAGGUUAUUCACAUAAAAUAUUAGACUAGACUAUAGAGAAAUAAUUGCAUAAACAGCUACUAAGUGAGAAAUCAUAACAAGGCACCUCUGCUUUGGCAGGUUCACCCUAUUGUUUUUCUAUGUUUAUAUUUUUAUACAGGGUAUAUCAGGAUUGACUUUGGGUAUGUUCAACUCUUCAUCAUCAGAACCAAAGCAAUCAAGAAAGAAAGAAGAAGCUAGCUACCAAUUGUUGAAGCUAUGGCACAGAAGACCCUACAAUUAUUAUCUACUCCAAGUCUUGAGAACAUUCCAACUGGUCCAAGAUUUGCAGUAGAAGAAGGAGCACCCGAGUUUGAGCUCAAGUCAAGCCUCUUCAAUUUGGUACAAGCUACACAAUUAAGUGGAAAGGCACAUGAAGAUGCUAGUGCACACUUGCAGUAUUUCUUAGAGAUUGGAAGAACAAUCCACAUCAACGGAGUUGACAAAGACGUCAUACUACUUCGCCUUUUUCCAUUCUCACUAGAAGGAAAAGCGAGGAAGUGGUUCUACACUCAUCAAGAUAACAUCAAUAACUGGACGAACUUGUCAGAUGCCUUUCUAUCAAAGUUUUUCCCUAUAGGCAAAACAACUGCCUUAAGAGGAAAUAUUGUCAGUUUCCAACAGUAGAAGACAGAAAUCAUUUCAGAAGCAUCGGAGCGUUUUCAAGGAUACAUAUCAGAUUGUCCUCACCAUGGAAUGGCCACGUGGUUACUUAUUCAGACCUUCUACCAUGGAUUAACCCAGAAGCCUCGUGAGUGCCUAGAUGCAUCUGCUAAAGGAUCAUUCUUGGAGCUUACAACUGGAAAAGCAGAGAUACCUUUGGAUAAGAUAGCAGAAAACCAGAGCUAGUUCCAAGAUGAAGCUCAACAAUGUCAUCAAACUGAAGAAAUACCAGAAGAAGUAAAUGCAUUAUCAACCAAGAUGGAAAAUUUGCUCCAUUGGAUUGACCAGAGGGCCAAGUUCAAAGAAGAUCAAAGGGCCAUUGAGACAGCAUACAAAUAUCAACCAACCUCGAGUCAACCCAAUAGCAAAGGUAUGAAUUCAGGUAAUACAUUCAAGCAACUUAUAUUAAAGGAGAUAAUUGCUCAACAAACCAAAACUAAUGAUGAAGUUAAACAAAGGCUAGAUACAAAUGAAUCAUCUCUAAAAGAUAUACACAAUAAAAUGGAUUUUCUAUUAACUGCCUUUGAUGAGCAAAACACUCUUAAUAAAAGGGUAGAGCUUAAAUUAAUAAAGUUAGCUGCUACACUGCCUGUUGCUACUAACAUUGAGCAGGUAAAGAACAUAACUACUAGAGGUGGCAAAGCCACCAGAGAUCCCCCAUUCCCAAAAUAGAAACAAAGAACAUCAGCACCAGUGCAACCAGCAGUGAUAGAAGAAGAAAGCCCAGUUGAAGCAGAAGAUCUGCUACAACCACCAAGAACUGGAGAAAUGAGGAAAGAUUUUUACGACACCAACCAUUUGCCAUUUACCAGAAGAAACAGAGGACUGCAGUCGGAUGAGCAGUUUGGUAAGUUUGUAGAGGUCAUUUAGAAAUUAUAUGUCAACAUACCUCUACUUGAUGCCAUACAGGUACCUACAUAUGCAAAGUACAUCAGAGAUAUUCUUAACAAGAAGAGACCACUGCCCACCACUGAGGUUAUCAAGCUGACAGAAGAAUGUAGUGCGGCCAUCCUCAAUAAACCACCAAAGAAGAAGGAAGAUCCAGGAUGCCCCACUAUUGAUUGCUCGAUCGGAAACCAACACUUCAACAAUGCACUUUGUGAUCUCGGAGCAAGUGUCAGUGUGAUGCCAGCAUCAGUCUACAAAAAGCUUGAUCAAUUAGUUUGACACCUGUUGGGCAUCACCGAAAACAUUCUAGUCAAGAUCAGAGAUUUCCUGGUGCCAGUAGACUUCGUGGUAUUGGACAUGAGUCCUGACUCAAAAGUGUCCAUCAUCCUUGGAAGGCCAUUUCUAAGCACCGCCAAUGCCCACAUUGAUGUCGGGAAAGGAGAAAUCAAGUUCAACAUAAACGGAAAAGAAGAACACUUCACAUUCAAGCCGAGACCAGAGAGAGACUUUACAGUGAAGGAAGUUCAUGAAGAAGAACCACUGGAGACACCAUCUCUGGAGGAAGGAAAUUCAUAAGAUUAAAAGGUUUGGAGGUCUAGCUUCGGGGACCUAAAAAUCCCAAACCCUCACCGGGAGGUAAAUCGGCAUUUAUCCGCAUCAUAAAUUCUUGCAUAAUUAAUUCUUGCAUUAGUCAUAUUUAUUCAUAGCAUUAUUAUAAUAAUAAAAAGCCCCAUAUAAAUAAUAUUCAUGGUGUGUAACAACCCAUAUUUAUUAACUAUUAUGGAGGCACAAAAAUAUUUUCCAUUAUCAUUUCAAAUAAGUUUUAAUUCUCAUAGAUCUUUCUGCAUUAUAUUUAAUUAUAGCAACCUUCUAGAAGCAUGACCCACUUUCCUUAGGUCCCACAUGUCAUACACCACACCUCACAUACAUCCCAUCACAUUAUUUGAUCCACCAACAUGUCUCCACUAAUCAGCACUUUUCCACCGGCCAACCACCACCCAUGAUGCAUUAUUUUGCGUAAGAAUUAAGCAAAGAAGGGAGUGGAGAAAGGGCAGCCAGGAUGGGCACCACAAGUGGGCGCCCGCCCACCUAUAGAGGGUGCCCGCCCUACCCCCUCUUUCUCCUAUAAAUAGCCACCUUCUACCUCCAUCUUCUUCACACAAGCAUUCCAGAAAACCACGCAAGUUUCAGUUUCCAGAGAAGGAGCUCUUGUAGUGAAGUAAGAAGAGAGUAGAGAGGAAGAGAAGAGUGGGAAAGAAGUUGGUAGUUUUUGAGUGAGACAGUGAGCUUCACCUAGUAAGUAGUGAUCCCGCUGUCCAAGCGGAAGUAAAAGUUGUUUAGGGGGAGGUUCUGUCAAAAUAAAAACUUGUCUUGAACGACUAACCCCUGGACUGCUGACAUUCCGGAUAUCUAACCACUAACAUUUUCUCUCACAUUUUCCACUAGUUGUGUUUUUGCCAACUUUUGUUUACAGGAUGUUCAAGAAAGUGAAGAACACAGGGAAGGCUCUCAAGAACAUUGGUACAAGGAGUUCAUCCCGACACUCCUCGCACCCAUCAGAGAUGAGCGUCGACCCAACGCCUACACAAGCUCCGUCAUCUUCAUCUGGUCAGCAAGUCAAGGUCCUUCUCAAGAUAGGAGACCUUGGACUAAAGAUCCUAAGGGAGAAGGAAGUCUAUCAGCAACUAAAGAAUAAAGAUUUCAUUCACACCCCCACUCUUGAUCCAAUCUUACUACAAGAAACAGGUAUGGACACCGAAUUCGACUUAAUUUUCCAGAUAUUAGGUUGGACAAAUUUUUGGAACAUAACUGAGCUGGGUUCUCGUCUUCUCACCCUCGAAUUUCUUUGCACUUUACAAUAUUAUGAGGGGGGAAUUGUUUUUCGGAUGUUCAAACAGGAGAUUAUGCUGUCUUGGAGAGAACUGAGUGACCAUCUUGGUUUCCCUUCAAGAUGCAUCCUGAACAUUGACUCCAACCUACCUAACUUUGAGAGACACCAGUUUUGGAGAGAAAUAUCUAGAGAUAAUUUUUAUAGUCAAGCCCGAACCAGUGACAUGGAACACCCCACUCUUAGGAUGUUCCACAAAUGGCUUGGGUACAAUCUUUUCUAUCGUGAUGAUAUUAGGAAAGUAAGAGUAGGAGAUUUACAACUUUUAUAUGCUGCUAUUAAUAAAGUACCCACUUCACCUGUUACACUUUUAGUUUCUCAUUGGCUUAGUGUACCUAGUCUUCAAGGACCAGUAGGAUGUACUUCACUUAUCACUCGUCUAGCCUCUAAUCUUCACUUAUUAGAAAACUCGUCGUUUGACUUCAUAGAUGAGUUAAGAAUUUAUCAUGGCUAUGACACAUUUAGACAAGCUCGGAUGUUAAAGAAAUGGGGGAACAUAAUGUAUAUGCUAUAUGAUGAUAAAGGCAAGAUUCGGUUACCUAACCCGAACCUUGGCCUCUACGUUGUUCAAAAUUUUUUGAUUGAGAUUGCAGCAACACCAGUGAACCAGAGAGCUCCACAGCGAGUGGCAUCUGAAAGGAUGACCACCCAUCGAGAACGCACCUGGUAUGGAGCUGAUCCCGGGCCGGAAGAAGCAGCGCACCUGCAUUAUAGUGACUACAACCCCCGAGUCCUUCGAGACCGAUGGGUUCGACAUGCGCAACCACAAGAGCCAACACAGGAGACAUGGCCGGAGAGCCAAGAUCACCAGUGGACAAACCCACCUUUUCAUACAGGCAGAUACUCCAUUGAUCCAUAUGGAGCUUCAGGAUCUAGACCUCCACCCCAAUUUGAUGCAGGACGAUACUACGACGCCUCCUACGCUUUCACGAACGACUACUACCAAGAGGCCGGUGCUUUCUUCACCCGUACCGACAACACCCUCCUCAACAUCUAGAACAUGCAAGCAGAACAUGGACAACUCCUGGAAGAGCAACAAAAAUGGAACCAGGACCACGCCACUGCAGUACAAGAGCUGAGACAAGAUACAACAACAAUGAACGACAACAUCACAACCAUGAUGCGGUUCUGUAACAUCGGGUAAGACCUACAUCAACAUCCAGCUUGGGGGAGUUCCUCCCCAAUUUAUCAAGUAAGUUUUUAUUUGCUCUUCUUAUUUAUUCUUUUCUGUUUUAGUGUUUUAUUUUUCUUAAAAAGAAAAACUUAGAAAACCCAAUAAAUAUUUUCUUACUUUGAUUUACAGUAUUUUAUAAACAUGAAAACAAAAUAAAAAGUGUGUGUAGAUAAGUGUGCUUGAUUUAUCUGCUAAGUGUUAAUCUCUAGAAAAAUAAAGACCAAAAAAUAAUGCAUGAUGGAAAUGAUGAACAGUUGCUCUGUUUGCUUACUUACAAGUACCUAGCUUUUAUAUUAGAGUUCUUCCAGGAAUUAUUAAAACCGAAAUUACUAUCUUUGGGAAGCAUAAAACUAAAGUCUAGGUAAGAGAAUGACAUAAUAUAAAGUUUGAGAUGUUGUUUAUCUUGUUCCUACUACACUAAGUUCUAGAGAUUUAUUUUUAAAAAACUUGCAAAUCACAUGAUGAGUUCCUAGCAUAACAAACUACCUACCAAAGCCAUACUUCCUAUAACAUCUUUUACUAUAUUCACAUUGAGUUUGAUCGAGCUGUGUAGACCCUUAGGAGCUUUUCAUAUGGUUAAAAUAAGAUAUUCACUUGCACACAUCUACUACACCCUCCACCACCAUCCAUUAAAAUUGCUAAAAAUUAUCACUCACUGUCCCAAGUGUUGUUAUUCUCUCUCUAAAAAGAUCUAAUGCAGAAGAGGCAUGGGUUAUGCAAAAAUAUGCGAGGAAAUAAAAAGGGGGAAGUGCCCGGAACCUCGAAAAAGAAAGAAAAAGAGUGAGACGAGAGGUAAAAAUGGACAAGUGUCUAGAGUAGAAUUAGGGGAUACAAAGAUGCCCACUUGAGCGGAAAAAAUGGACAAGUGUCCGACAGAAGAAUUAGGGGUAUCUACUACCCACCUGAAAAAAAGAGAUAGCCCAUGUUCUCCCAAAGCAAAGAUCAAAGAAGAGGAGAGAUAGCAAUAUGAGGAGCAAUGAGAAGUAAGCUUUAUCAUCACUUAUACAUUUUUACCAUCACUAUCAUUAACUCCACGACACAUGCACAUCUUGUGAAAUUUUGGUAAGGAUCCACAAAUACCACAUAUAGAGAGACUUGAGAGAUCAUUGCUGGGAACUCUGAGUUUUAUUUUGAGAACUUAUGAAAAACUCUGGAACAAAGGUGAAGUAUAGACAGGAGGAAUAAUGCCUGACUUAAUUAUUUUGUCUUUCGAUUACUUAAGACUCGAGUGCAGGUACUAAGCUCCAUGACACUUCACUCUAAUCUGGAAGAAUUUUUAUGUAAAAGCAUGUGUGCCUGUCAGGAAAGAAAACAUCGAAGCAACUCUUGAUCCAUCUAAGUUUAGUUGUUUGCUCAGGGACGAGCAAAGGGUAAGCUUGGGGGAGUUUGUUGACGGUCCUUAAGAACUAAAAUUAACCAUCAACUAAACAGGGAAAAGGAUCAACAUGCACCGAACAUCUAGAAUUAGGGUUUUAUCUGACAGAAUACCACGAGCUAUGGUGUUUAUCUAUUUCUAUAGGGGGUUAUCAGAGAAUAUGGAGAGAAGGCCCACAUGUCAUGUUUACAACGAGAUAAUUACAUGUCGCGCAAUUUUCCUCAAUCUAGAAGAGUCCAGAAUCCACGGGAACGAACGAGAAGAUGAUCGGGCUCGGGGGCAGGGCGCCUGCCCACCCCCCUUGGGCGCCCGCCCAGGGUUAGAGUCCAAUCAGGACUCUCUUUCGGGACUAAGAUCCACUGACCUAAAGGAUGAAUCUAAACCAUACAAUCAAUGUCGGUCUGAUCCAAUGACCUAAAUUCACUUGAAAGGACUAUAUAACCAAUGCCUCUCCACCCCUGGGGGACAGAAGAGAAGAGAAGAAAUCAUUAUCAGAGGUAGCCAUCAAAGUUAGGGUUUAGAGCUUCUCUCCCACAGAGAAUUAGAAUUAGCAACUCCCUAAUCCUUUAAGUUUAGAGGUUUGAUUAGAUAGCAAUUAGAGAAGUAGAGCACUACGCUCUGGAUUCGGAUCUUCGGUAAUAAAGAUUGGUAUUAUUCAUAUCUUUCUCUAAUACUUUGUUCUAAUUACAUUAUGUCUCCAUUUAUUAUGAUCUUAGUUUGCUCUAGUUCUAUAUUUGAUGUAGUUAUGAUUGAUAAUGAGUUUAUGUAUAAGUUAGCAAAGCGCUUAACUUUCGACGCGAGGGAGUUAAGUGGUAGAUCACAUGUGGGCAUGGUGCUUAGAUGUUAUUUACCUACAAAUGUAUCCUAUCGACUGGGUCGUGUGGUAGUUCGCGAUAGUGACAGCUUCGUUGAUUCUUAUAUAGUCCACCCUCCGUUGAUAGGACAGGCAGAACUUGUAUUGCGGAGUAAGUCUUGUGAUGUUCUGAUUUACUUUAGCAAUGUUCCUUAUACAUGAAUGAAGAGUCUUUUAUGUUAUACAUGAUCUUGUAGAUAACUAGAGUAGAUUAUGACUUAGUAGAUAGUAGAUAACUUAGAAUCCAUUCUCUAGCUAAUCCGACGUCACCUACAUAUAUGUGGAGUCGUCUAUUUUCUAAUCGAUGUGUUAUUUACCCUUGAACUUAUAAUUCAUUAUCAUUAUCUUUAUGGUUUACCCCCUGCUAAAGUAAGUGACUGUGUGAUGAGUUUCUCAUUAGUAAUCAUCUUCUUGCAAGUUUAUCUCUAGUCUAUGCCUUGAUAGAUUUUGCCCUUAUUUUAAUUCAAUCCCUUUUUGUUCUCUUAAGCAAAAUUAUAAAUAAUGAUACCUGGAAUACUUAUCCUGGUGAAAUGCUACAAUGAGGUGUUUUAUCUGUGCACUUGCGGAUAGAAUAGAUUAUUUUCCAGAGAGCAUUUACAUUUAUAAAUACCUUUGUACACUCUGGCACCAUGCUGGGGAUGACAACCUAGUAUCUAAGUGGUGUUAGCUAGUCUCAACACCCACCUACGUGAUUUCAAGUAGCUUUGCUCGUGCAUUCACAUCUAAGGGAUGAGCAAGUUACCCUUAAGUGGAAGCUCUUCCCGUUCUCUUUGACAGGAAAAGCUAGACGGUGGUACUCUCGAUAUGUAGGUAGUGUAGACGGAGAAUGGGAGAAGCAGCAAGCCAAGUUCUGCCUUACCUACUUCCCCAUUUCCCGUGUGGCUCGUCUCCAUAGAGAGAUCCUAAACUUCAAGCAAGAAGAAAAGGAAUCUCUAGGUGUAGCUUGGACGCAAAUCACAGACUUAGCAUCCUCGGGCCCAGACUUAGCCAUAACCGAGCCAACGCUAAUGCAGCAUUUCUAUCUCGGUCUUAGGCAAAGUUCCGCACAAUUCCUGGAUCUAGCCUCAAAGGGAGCAUUCCUUCAUUUACCCAUUAGUGAAGGUAGGGUGGUCCUAGCAACCAUACUAGACAACACCACCUACACUGAUGACCAUAGUGAUGCCCCUGAGGAAGAUCAAGCCCCUAGGGACGACACCUCGUUAGCUGACGCUAUAGUAGCCACAUCACAAGUUGUCGAGCCUGAACCACAAUCCCAAAUACCUCCAAGGGAAGAAGUGAUUCAUCCCUUGGAGUAUCCUCUUAACAUCGAGAUGGAUCUUUUCACCGAUUAUGGCAACGUCUUGAAACAACCUGUGCAAAAGAGAGACCAAAACGCUCCAAAAGAGUAAGUAUCUUCUUGCUUAGAGGCUUCUUACCUCAAAGCAACUACUCAGGAGCUCAUGACCGUUAUGAGCAGCGAAUGGCUAAAGGAGUCAGAAGCGUCGUCUGAUGUAAUCAGGCUUCUCUGCUGCUUCACAACCAUUCGUUGUCUCAUAAGCAGGACUCCCAUGGAUUCUCUUUAUGACCCCAACGUAGGAGCAUCCGUAAUGUCUAAGAAUUUGGCAUCAACACUCCUAGGUGAGGAACCAUUAGUUCCGACCAAAAAGUUUCUCAAGCUACCAUCUGGAGAAUUGGUCGAGAGCUGCGGCUGUUGUUAUUUGGUAACGCCAUCAGGAAAUGAUCCGCAAGCGCACGAAUAUUGGUGAGCACUUCACCCGGGAGGUUAUCUAGAGUAUCGUAUUUAUAUUUUUACCACUGGGAGAAAGCGUGCAUCUGACUAACCAAAUCUAUUGCUACUACCCUUUAGGCUACAAACAAUGUGAUUCGAUGUGAGCGAUAUAUAGAGAAGCCUACAACCGUACUCUCAUUCUAACCUUGGUAAGGAUGAUCUAUUGUUCUGUUGGGGAGGCUCACAGAAUCUAGACACCACAAAGGAUGUUGGACCUGCACCUAUAAACCCUAUCGAUCCUUCUAACGGGAUGUGGGCUACAAAGGUAGCUCGGAAAUGUCACGUUCGUCACUACUACCACGGUCCAGCUAGACAGGGGAUAUCUAUGAGUACCCUAGCCCAAACACCAUGUUUACGCUAGUAAUGAUUACUCUAAACUCAACCAGAAGAGAUUAAAGUAAACUCAUAAACCAAAGAACAAUAAAACAAAGAACUUACUAGAAUUUAGAAGUCAAAAUAGUAAAGAAUCCUAGGAGCAAGCUUCGGGUUAGGAGACUUGAUCCCGUUGGUACAACCUCGGAGUAGACACCGACAGGCCGAGCUUCCUCCGAUCUACACCUCCACUCUAUCUCUCUCAAUCUAUAAGAACAUAGAAGAACUAAUUCUAAUCUCGCAUUGGAUGCUAAGCCCUAAUUCUAUAUAGAGGAAAGGUUAUCCUUCGAGGGCACCUCUCAACUCUAUAAUGAUGUGUUCUCCUCCAGGGGCCAGGGGUCUUGCUUAUAUAGUCCUCCCCCUUUGUGCCUUUUUAGUUCAACAGGCAAUGUGGUACUAAACUUUCCACCAUAUCUCAUUAAAAUGCACAUAGGCCUUAAUGGACCAAAAUCUGAUUUGGGCCCAAUUAAUCCCGCAGCUCUUUUAUGUGGAGUCCUUUUAUUAAUAUCUCUUGAUUCUGAACUCCAAAUAUAGCAAAUAAUAUAUGCAUUUCGAUCAGCUCGACGAGAUCUUUGUAAUGGUGUACUUCAUUCUGUGAUUGGUGCUUGUACCACGGCGGGCGCCCUGCCCCCGGGCCCGUUCGGCCUCCCGUUCGUUCCCAUGGCUUCUGGACUCUUCUAGAUGAUAGAAAAUUGCGUGGCAUGUUAAUAUCUCUAUGUAAUCCCGACAUGUGGGUAUUUCCUCCAUAUUUCCUCAUAACCCCCUGCAGAAAUAGACAAACACCAAAACUCGUGGAAUUCUGUCAGAUAAAACCCUAAGUCUGGGUAUUGGUUGCAUUUGGAUCCUUUUCAUUAUUUAUUUGAUGAUUAUAUUUGGUACUUAAGGACCGUCAACAAACUCUCCCAAGCUUACCUCUUGCUUGUCCCUGAGCAAGGAUAGACUCAAAAGUUUCUGCAGUGUUUUCAUGCUUUAAAAGUACACAUGCGUUCAAGCAAGAUCUCAUCUCUGAGUUAGAGUAAACUGUUAAGACUUAAAACUUACUCAUUUUACCUUUCACCAUGGGGCUUGCAACCGUCACUUGUGUCUUGAGCAGUUAAAAGAUAGAACAGUCUAGUCAUGCGCCAUGUCUCUUGUUCUUGAUCAGCUAUAACUCUAGAGUUUUUGCAGUUUUUCAAAUAAAACUCAGAGAUUCCUUGUAUGACUCUCUCAAAUCUAUCUUUUGUGGUAUUUCUGGGUCCUUUCCAAGGCAGUAAUGGUAUAUGCCUUCUCUCAAAGUAUGUGGUAUUUUUGGUAUGAGGCAUAGUGAUAUUGCCUUCUCUCUCACCCUAUUCUAUCAAGAUUUUGACAUCUGGAGCCCAUAGGUGGGAGACAGAUAAUCCAUACUUACAAGAUAUUUAUUGCAUAGUCAAACCAUGGAUCUAGAAGAACAAGUCAAUAAGUCAAAUCAAGAUGUCCAUGUGUGGCGAGUGAAUGGUGUAUGGUGAUAACAAUGGUGAAAAUCUAAUUCUACUUUUGCUCUUUUAAGGGGAUACAUACCUUUCUUGCACUUUGAAGCUUUUUGAGGAGAAUGAGAUGCUCUAUAUUUUCUUUUUCUUUCCUCUCAGGUGGGUAUCUUGUACCCCUAAUUCUACUGUCAGACACUUGACCAUUUUUACCUCUCGUCUCACUUUUUCUUUUCUUCAAGGUUCCGGGCACUUGCCCCUUUUUAUUUCCUCGUAUCCUCUUUUUUUAGAGCACUCAUCUCCUGAAAUAAUAUAGCAAGUGGUAGUAACCAAGAUAACUCGAGCAUUUAUUUCACAGGGAAAAAUAGAAAUGUUUUUGGCUAUUCUCUCCCGGAUUAGGAGUAGAAUACUUUUGGGUGGCUUUGGAGAUGGAAUUGAGUGGAUGUAUGUGGAUGCGUACUUUCGGAGUAGAAGUAGCAUGUGUGAGUGAACGUGCAAGUGAAUCUUGAUUUUAACCACAUGACAAGAUCCUAAGGGUCCACAUAGCUUGACCACACUCAAUGCUCAUAAGCAGUAAAAAGUAAAUGUGUGGCUCAAAGUCUAGCAAGCAUGUAUAUGUGGCUGUGGUAGGAUUUUAAACUCUCAUCAUACAGGAACUCAUCAUGCAAUAUUUUAGAGAUUUUCAAAGAUAAAAUUCUCCAGAAUUCUAGCAUCUCUAGGAACAGAUAAAUAGCAGCUCAACCUUCCCAUAUCAUAUCCGUUAACAACUUAGACUUUAGAUCAAGUACUCUUCCCACAAGUUUAGGUUUAGAGCAGGUUUAAAUUAUAACAGUUAUGCCUAAUCUUGAGAGAGAGCUCAAACGUGAAAACUAGGUACAUGGCAGAGCAACUAUUUAUCAUAUCCAUGUAAGAGUUUAUCAUUUAUGUUCAGUUUGGCCUAGACACUUUACUGAUUUAUUUUGCAAACUAAGCAAAGAUAUAUAUAAGCACAAAAAUUUUUAUUUGGGUUUUCAUCAUUAUGCAUAUUUUUAUUAUUUGAGUAAAGUAUAAACGCGAGUAGAAACACUUAGCUGGAUAAAUGAGGGUGCUCUCUGUUGACACUAGCUAACACCACUUAGAUACUAGGUUGUCAUCCCCAGCAUGGUGCUAGAGUGUACAAAGGUAUUCAUAAAUGUAAAGGCUCUCUAGAAAAUAAUCUAUUCUAUCCGCAAGCGCACAGAUAAAACACCUCAUUGUAGCAUUUCACCAGGAUAAGUAUUCCAGGUAUCGUUCUAAGGAGAUUAAAUUAAGGGCAAAAUCUAUCAAGGCAUAGACUAGAGAUAAACUUGCAAGAACAUGAUUACUAAUGAGAAACUCGUCACACAGUCACUUACUUUAGCAGGGGGUAAACCAUAAAGAUAAUGAUAAUGAAUUAUAAGUUCAACGGAUAAAUAACACAGCGAUUAGAAAAUAGACUACUCCUCAUAUAUGUAGGUGAUGUUGGAUUAGCUAGAGAAUGGAUUCUAAGUUAUCUACUAACUACUAAGUCAUAAUGUACUCUAGUUAUCUACAAGAUCAUAUAUAGCAUAAAAGACUCUUCAAUCAUGUAUAAGGAACAUUGAUAAAGUAAAUCAGAGCAUCGCAUGACUUACUCCACAAUACCGGUUCUGCCUGUCCUAUCAACGGAGGGUGGACUAUAUAAGAAUCAAUGAAGCUGUCACUAUCGCGAACUACCACACGACCCGGCCAAUAGGAUACAUUUGCAGAUAAAUAACAUCUAAGCACCACGCUCACAUGUGAUCUAUCACCUAACUCCCUCGCGUCAAGAGCUAAGCGCUUUGCAAACUUAUACAUAAACUCAUUAUCAAUCAUAACUAUAUCAAAUAUAGAACUAGAGCAAACUAAGAACAUAAUAAUUAGAGACAUAAUGCAAUUAGAACAAUAGAAUUAGAGAAAGAUAUGAAUAAUACCAAUCUUUGUUACCGUAGAUCCGAAUCCUGAGCGUAGUGCUCUACUUCUCUAAUUGCUAUCUAAUCAAACCUCUAAACUUGAAGGAUUAGGGAGUAGCUAUUUCUAAUUCUCUAUGGGAGAGAAGCUCUAAACCCUAACUUUAAUGGCUACCUCUGCAUAAUGGUUUCUUCUCUUCUCCUCUCUCCUCCAGGGGCCAGGGGGUUUGGUUUUAUAGUCCCCUCAAGUGAACGUGGGCUGUCAAAUCAAACCGACAUAGAUUGUAUGGUUUAGAUUGAUCCUUUAGGUCGGUGGAGUUUAGCCCCGAAGCAGAGUCGUGAUUGGACUCUUGUCCUGGGCGGGCGCCCAAGGGGGGUGGGCGGGCACCCUGCCCGCGAGCCCGAUUCCCUUCUCGUUCGUUCCCGUGGCUUCUGGACUCUUCUAGAUUGAAGAAAAUUGCGCGGCACGUAAUUAUCUCGUUGUAAACAUGACAUGUGGGCCUUCUCUCCAUAUUCUCUAAUAACCCCCUGCAGAAAUAGAUAAACACCAAAGCUCAUGGAAUUCUGUCAGAUAAAACCCUAAUUCUAGAUGUUUGUUUCAUAUUGAUCCUUUUCCAUGUUUAUUUGAUUAUUAAUUUUAGUACUUAAGGACCGUCAACAAACUCCCCCAAGCUUACCCUUUGCUCGUCCCUGAGCAACUAGCUAAACUCACAUGGAUCAGGAGUUUCUUCGAUGUUUUCUUUCCUGACAGGCACACAUGCUUUUACAUAAAAUUCUUCCAGAUUAGAGUGAAGUGUUAUGGAGUUUAGUACCUGCACUUAAAUCUUAAGUGAUCGAAAGACAAAAUAAUUAAGUCAAGCACUAUUCCUCCUGUCUAUACUUCACCUUUGUUCUAGAGUUUUUCAUAAGUUUUCAAAAUAAAACUCAAAGUUCCCAGCAAUGAUUCUCUCAAGUCUCUCUAUAUGUGGUAUUUGUGGAUCCUUAACAAAAUGUCACUUACCUAUAGCUAAUGGAAUAUUUAAGUGUAGCUGAUAGGAGUGAAAAACAGCCCAUACAUAUGUUGUCUAAUCGAGCCAUGGAUCCAAAGGAACUCAGCAUAUAAUUAAAUCAAAAUGUGCAUGUGUGGUGGAGUAAAUGAUAGUGAUAAUAAAAAUGUAUAAGUGAUAAUAAAACUUAGUUCUCAUUGCUCCUCAUAUUGCUAUCUCUCCUCUUCUUUGAUCUUUGCUUUGGGAGAACAUGGGCUAUCUCUUUUUCUUCUUUUUUUUCAGGUGGGUAGUAGAUACCCCUAAUUCUACUGUCGGACACUUGUCCAUUUUUUCCGCUCAGGUGGGCAUUUUUGUACCCCUAAUUCUACUUCGGACACUUGUCCAUUUUUACCUCUCGUCUCACUCUUUUUCUUUCUUUUUCUAGGUUCCGGGCACUUGCCCCUUUUUAUUUCCUCGCAUAUUUUUGCAUAACCCAUGCCUCUUCUGCAUUGAAUCUUUUUAGAGAGAGAGAAUAACAAUAUUUGGGACAGUGAGUGAUAAUAUUUUUAGUAAUUUUAAUGAAUGGUGAUGGAUGGUGUAGUAGAUGUGUGCAAGUGAAUAUCUUAAUUUAACCACAUGAAAAGCUCCUAAGGGUCUACACAGCUCGAUCAAACUCAAUGUAAAUAUAGUAAAAGAUGUUAUAGCAAGUAUGGCUGUGGUAGGUAAUUUGUUAUGCUAGGAACUCAUCAUGUGAUUUGUAAGUUUUCAAAAUAAAUCUCCAGAACUUAGUGUAAAAGGAACAAGAUAAACAACAGCUCAACUUUAUAUCAUGCCUUUCUCUUACCUAGACAUUAGUUUUAUGCUUACCAUAGAUAGUAAAUUCAGUUUUAGUAAUUCCUGGAAGAACUCUAAUAUAAAAGCUAGGUACUUGAAAGUAAGCAAACAGAGCAACUGUUCAUUAUUUCCAUCAUGCAUCUUUUUGAUCUUUUUGUUUUUUUUUCUAGAGAUUUGCACUUAACAGAUAAAAUAAAGCACACUUAUCUACACACUCUUUUUAUUUUGUUUUCAUGUUUAUAAAAUGCAGUAAAUUAAAGCAAGAAAAUAUUUAUUUGGUUUUCUAAGUGUUUCCUUUUUAAGAUAAAUAAAACACUAAGACAAAAUAGAAUAAAUAAGAAGAGCAAAUAAAAAAUUACUUGAUAAAUUGGGGAGGAACUCCCCCAAGCUUGAUGUUGACGUCGGUCUUACCCGAUGUUCCAGAACCGCAUCAUGGUUGUGAUGUUGUUAUUCAUUGUUGUUGUAUCUUGUCUCACCUCUUCUACUGCAGCGGCAUGGUCCUGGUUCCAUUUUUGUUGCUCUUCCAGGAGUCUUCCAUGUUCUGCUUGCGUGUUCUAGAUGUCGAGGAGGGUGUUGUCGGUACGAGUGAAGAAAGCACCGGCCUCUUGAUAGUAGUCAUUCGUGAAAGCGUAGGAGGCGUCGGAGUAUCGUCCUGCAUCGAAUUGGGGCAGAGGUCUGGAUCCUGAAGCUCCAUAUGGAUCAGUGGAAUACCUGCCCGUAUGAAAAGGCGGGUUUGUCCACUGGUGACCUUGGCUCUCCGGCCAUGUCUCCUCUGUUGGCUCUUGUGGUUGCGCAUGACGAACCCAUGGGUCUCGAAGGACUCGAGGAUUGUAAUCGCAAUAAUGCAGGUGCGUUGCUUCUUCUGGUCCAGGGUCAGCUCCAUACUAGGUGAGUUCUCGGUGAGUGGUCACCCUUUCAGAUGCCACUCGCUGUGGGGUUCUCUGGUUCACUGGUGUUGCUGCAAUCUCAAUCAAAAAGUUUUGCACAACGUAGUGGCCAUGGUUCGGGUUAGGUAACCGAAUCUUGCCUUUAUCAUCAUAUAGCAUAUACAUUACAUUCCCCUCUUUCUUUAACAUCCGAGCUUGUCUAAAUGUGUCAUAGCCAUGAUAAAUUCUUAAUUCCUCUAUGAUAUCCAACGAUGAGUUUUCUAGUAAGUGAAGAUUAAAGGCUAGACGAGUGAUAAGUGAAGUACAUCCUACUGGUCCCUGAAGACUAGGUAUACUAAGCCAAUGAGAAACUAAUAGUGUAACAGGUGAAGUAGGUACUUUAUUAAUAGCAGCAUAUAAAAGUUGUAAAUCUCCUACUCUUACUUUCCUAAUAUCAUCACGAUAGAAAAGAUUGUACCUAAGCCAUUUGUGGAACAUCCUAAGAGUGGGGUGUUCCAUGUCACUAGUUCGGGCUUGACUAUAAAAAUUAUCUCUAGAUAUUUCUCUCCAAAACUGGUGUCUCUCAAAGUUAGGUAGGUCGGAGUCAAUGUUCAGGAUGCAUCUUGAAGAGAAACCAAGAUGGUCGCUCAGCUCUCUCCAAGACAACAUAUUUUCCUGUUUGAACAUCCGAAAAACAAUUCCCCCCUCAUAGUAUUGUAAGGUGCAAAGAAAUUCGAGGGUGAGAAGACGAGAACCCAGGUCAGUUAUAUUCCAAAAAUUCGUCGAACCUAUCAUCUGGAAAAUUAAGUCAAAUUCAGUGUCCAUACCUGUUUCUUGUAGUAGGAUUGGAUCGAGAGUAGGGGUGUGAAUGAAAUCUUUGUUCUUCAAUUGCUGAUAGACUUCCUUCUCUCUUCGGGUCUUCAGUCCAAGGUCUCCUAUCUUGAGAAGGACCAUAACUUGCUGACCUGAUGAAGAUGACGGAGCUUGUGUGGGUGUCGGGUCGACGCUCAUCUCUGAUGGCUGUGAGGAGUGUCGGGCUGAACUCCUUGUACCAAUGUUCUUGAGAGCCUUCCCUGCAUUCUUCACCUUCUUAAACAUUCUGCAAACAAAAGUUGGCAAAAACACAACUAGUGGAAAAUGUGAGAGAAAAUGUUAGUGGUCAGCUGUCCGGAAUAUCAGUAGUCCAGGGGUUAAUCGUUCAGGAUAAGUUUCUAUUUUGGCAGUACCUCCCCCUAAACAACUUUUACUUCCGCUUAGACAGCGGGAUCACUACUUGCUAGGUGAUACUCACUCUCUCACUCAAAAGAACUCCCAACCUUUUCACAUUCAGAGCUAUUCUCUGGAAACCGAGAACUACGAGCUUGCAAGGUUUUCUGAAGUGUGUGUGUGAAGAGAAGGGGAGCUGGAGGUGGCCUUUUAUAAGCUGAGCAGGGGACAGGGCGGGCACCCUUGGUAGGUGGGCGGGCGCCAACUUGUGAUGCCCAUCCUGGGUGUGCCUCCUCCACUUGCUUCCUUGCUUUGAUCUCACGCCGAAUAAUAUUGUGUUGGUGGUGGUUGGACGGUGGAAAGAUGUCACGCAAGUGGAAACAUAUUGGUGGAUGAAAUUAUGUGAUGGGAUGUAUGUGAGGUGAAGUGUAUGACAUGAGGGACCCAAGAGGUGUGUGUCAUGCUUCUAGAAGGUUAAUAUAAUUAAAUAUAAUGCAAGAAAAUCUAUGAGAAUUGAAACUUAAUUAAAAUGAUAAUGGAAAAUAUUUUUGUGCCUCCACAAUAAUUAAUAAAUAUGGGUUGUUACACAUCAUAAAUAUUAUUUAUAUGGGGCUUUUUAUUAUUAUAAUAAUGCUAUGAAUAUAUAUGACUAAUGCAAGAUUUAAUUAUGCAAGAAUUUAAAUAUGAGAAAAUUAAUAAUGCGAAUAAAUACCGAUUUACCUCCCGGUGAGGGUUUGGGAUUUUUAGGUCCCCCAAGCUGGACCUCCAAAUCUUUUAAUCUUCUGAAUUACCUUCCUCCGGAGAUGGUGUCUCUAGUGGUUCUUCAUGAACUUCCUUCACUGUAGAAUCUCUCUGGUCUAGGUUUGAAUGUGAAGUGUUCUUCAUGUCCGUUUAUGUUGAACUUGAUUGCUCCUUUUCCGACAUCAAUGUGGGCAUUGGCAGUUCUCAGAAAUGGCCUUCCAAGGAUGAUGGACACUUUUGAGUCAGGACUCAUGUCCAAUACUAUGAAGUCUACUGGCACAAGGAAAUCUCUGAUCUUGACUGGAAUGUUUUCGGCGAUACCCAACGGAUGUCGAACUGAUUGAUCCGCUAGUUGUAAGCACAUUGAUGUUGGUUCUAGGGUCGCAUGCUCAAGCUUUUUGUAGACUGAUGCUGGCAUCACACUGACACUUGCUCCGAGAUCACAAAGUGCAUUGUUAAAAUGUUGGUUUCCGAUCGAGCAAUCAAUAGUGGGGCAUCCUGGAUCUUCCUUCUUCUUUGGUGGUUUGUUAAGGAUGGCCGCACUGCAUUCUUCUGUCGGCUUGAUAACCUCAGUGGUGGGCAGUGGUCUCUUCUUGUUAAGAAUAUCUCUGAUGUACUUUGCAUAUGUAGGUACCUGUAUGGCAUCGAACAGAGGUAUGUUGACAUAUAAUUUCUGAAUUACCUCUACAAACUUACCAAACUGCUCAUCCGACUGCAGCCUCUGUUUCUUCUAGGAAAUGGCAAAUAGUUGGUGUCGUAAAAAUCUUUCCUCAUUUCUCUAGUUCUUGGUGGUUGGGGCAGAUCUUCUGCUUCAACUGGGCCUUCUUCUUCUAUCACUGCUGGUUGCACUGGUGCUGAUGUUCUUUGUUUCUCUUUUGGGUAUGGGGGAUCUCUGGUGGCUUUACCUCCUCUAGUAGUUAUAUUCUUUACCUGCUCAAUGUUAGUAGCAACAGGCAGUGCAGUAGCUAUCUUUAUUAAUUUAAGCUCUACCCUUUUAUUAAGAGUGUUUUGCUCAUCAAAGGCAGUUAGUAGAAAAUCCAUUUUAUUGUGUACAUCUUUUAGAGAUGAUUCAUUUGUAUCUAGCCUUUGUUUAACUUCGUGAUUAAUUUUGGUUCGUUGAGCAAUUAUCUCUUUUAAUGAAAGUUGCUUGAAAGUAUUACCUGAAUUCAUACCUUUGCUAGUGGGUUGACUCGAGGUAGGUUGAUAUUUGUAUGCUGUCUCAAUGGCCCUUUGAUCUUCUUUGAACUUGGCCCUCUGGUCAAUCCAAUGGAGCAAAUUUUUCAUCUUAGUUGAUAAUGCAUUUACUUCUUCUGGUAUUUCUUCAGUUUGAUGACAUUGUUGAGCUUUAUCUUGGAACCAGCUUUGAUUUUCUGCUAUCUUAUCCAAAAGUAUCUCUGCUUUUCCAAUUGUAAGCUCCAAGAAUGAUCCUUUAGCAGAUGCAUCUAGGGACUCACGAGCCUUCUGGGUUAAUCCAUGGUAGAAGGUCUACAUAAGUGACCAUGUGGCCAUUCCAUGGUGAGGACAAUCUGAUAUGUAUCCUUGAAAACACUCCCAUGCUUCUGAAAUAGUUUCUGUCUUCUACUAUUGAAACUGACAAUAUUUCCUCUUAAGGCAGUUGUUUUGCCUAUAGGGAAAGACUUUGAUAGAAAGGCAUCUGACAAGUUCGUCCAGUUGUUGAUGUUAUCUUGAUGAGUGUAGAACCACUUCCUCGCUUUUCCUUCUAGUGAGAAUGGAAAAAGGCGAAGUAGUGUGACGUCUUUGUCAACUCCGUUGAUGUGGAUUGUGCUUCCAAUCUCUAAGAAAUUCUGCAAGUGUGCACUAGCAUCUUCAUGUGCCUUUCCACUGAAUUGUGUAGCUUGUACCAAAUUGAUUAGGCUUGACUUGACCUCAAACUCAGGUAUUCCUUCUUCUACUGCAAAUCUUGGACCAGUUAGAAUGUUCUCAAGGCUUGGAGUAGAGAAUUCUUGUAGGGUCUUUUGUGCCAUAGCUUCAGCAAUUGGUAGCUAGCUUCUUCUUCUCUUGAUUGCUUUGGUUCUGAUGAUGAAGAGUUGAAUGUACCCAAAGUCAAUCCUGAUAUACCCUGUAUAAAAAUAUAAAUAUAGAAAAACAACAGGGUGAACCUGCCAAAGCAGAGGUGCCUUGUCAUGAUUUCUCACUUAGUAGCUGUUUUAUGCAAUUAUUUCUCUAUAGUCUAGUCUAAUAUUUUAUAUGAAUAACCUUGACUGAUUUUCUAGCUUUCCUUACCAUUCCCAUGCGUUACCCUUUUGUGUCCCUUUAUGACUUUCUUAUGAGAUCUCCCCGGCAACGGCACCAGAAAUGCUUGUUGACACUAGCUAACACCACUUAGAUACUAGGUUGUCAUCCCCAGCAUGGUGCCAGAGUGUACAAAGGUAUUUAUAAAUGUAAAGACUCUCUAGAAAAUAAUCUAUUCUAUCCGCAAGCGCACAGAUAAAACACCUCAUUGUAGCAUUUCACCAGGAUAAGUAUUCUAGGUAUCGUUAUUUAUAAUUUUGCUCAAGGGAUCUAAGGAGAUUAAAUUAAGGGCGAAAUCUAUCAAGGCAUAGACUAGAGAUAAACUUGCAAGAACAUGAUUACUUAUGAGAAACUCGUCACACAGUCACUUACUUUAGCAGGGGGUAAACCAUAAAGAUAAUGAUAAUGAAUUAUAAGUUCAAGGGAUAAAUAACACAGCGAUUAGAAAAUAGACUACUCCUCAUAUAUGUAGGUGAUGUCGGAUUAGCUAGAGAAUGGAUUCUAAGUUAUCUACUAACUACUAAGUCAUAAUCUACUCUAGUUAUCUACAAGAUCAUAUAUAGCAUAAAAGACUCUUCAUUCAUGUAUAAGGAACAUUGAUAAAGUAAAUCAGAGCAUCGCAUGACUUACUCCACAAUACCGGUUCUGCCUGUCCUAUCAACGGAGGGUGGACUAUAUAAGAAUCAACGAAGCUAUCACUAUCGUGAACUACCACACGACCCGGCCAAUAGGAUACAUUUACAGAUAAAUAACAUCUAAGCACCACGCUCACAUGUGAUCUAUCACCUAACUCCCUCGCGUCAAGAGCUAAGCGCUUUGCAAACUUAUACAUAAACUCAUUAUCAAUCAUAACUAUAUCAAAUAUAGAACUAGAGCAAACUAAGAACAUAAUAAUUAGAGACAUAAUGCAAUUAGAACAAUAGAAUUAGAGAAAGAUAUGAAUAAUACCAAUCUUUAUUACCGUAGAUCCGAAUCCAGAGCGUAGUGCUCUACUUCUCUAAUUGCUAUCUAAUCAAACCUCUAAACUUGAAGGAUUAGGGAGUAGCUAUUUCUAAUUCUCUAUGGGAGAGAAGCUCUAAACCCUAACUUUGAUGGCUACCUCUGCAUAAUGAUUUCUUCUCUUCUCCUCUCUCCUCCAGGAGCCAGGGGGUCUGGUUUUAUAGUCCCCUCAAGUGAACGUGGGCCGUCAGAUCAAACCGACAUAGAUUGUAUGGUUUAGAUUGAUCCUUUAGGUCGGUGGAGUUUAGCCCCGAAGCAGAGUCCUGAUUGGACUCCUGUCCUGGGCGGGCGCCCAAGGGGGUGGGCGGGCGCCCUGCCCCCGAGCCCGAUUCCCUUCUCGUUCGUUCCCGUGGCUUCUGAACUCUUCUAGAAUGAAGAAAAUUGCGCGGCACGUAAUUAUCUCGUUGUAAACAUGACAUGUGGGCCUUCUGUCCAUAUUCUCUGAUAACCCCCUGCAGAAAUAGAUAAACACCAAAGCUCGUGGAAUUCUGUCACAUAAAACCCUAAUUCUAGAUGUUUGUUUCAUAUUGAUCCUUUUCCAUGUUUAUUUGAUUAUUAAUUUUAGUACUUAAGGACCGUCAACACUCUCCCCCAAGCUGGAUUUUGACGUAAUUUCUUCUGAUGUAGCUAGCAGGUGACGGAGGUGUAUUUGAAUGUGGGUAGCACCCUGACAGCGAUUACUAUGUCCUCCGCCAGCUAAUCUUCUUUGAUCCUUGAAUUUUGUGGAGCUCAAAUAGACAACAAAGCUUUGUGGAACUGGUUAAGUGUUAGCAUAAAAUCUCUUCGCCUUUAUCAUGUUGAGCUUCCUCUAAUAAAUAUUACUCUCUUUGGUAGGAUCAUAAAUUUAUUUUUAUAUUCUCAUUUUGAUAGGAUAGGAAUAUAUUUAUUUUAUUUUUAUGCCACCACAGUGAAUGUACUUAUGGGUUUUAUGCCACUUGUAUACUCACAUGGGCCUUACUGUUUUUUUAACAUUUUUAUUUUCUUUUCAAGAUAGUAUGAACCGAUUAACUAAACAAGCUAUUUAAAGAAAAUAAAUAAUUGAAGGGAAGGUGACAACUACCAAGUUUACCUCUUGGCACGGCGUUCGGCAUUUUUAAGUCCUCCGAACGGGACUCCUUGUGUUUUUAGUCGUCCUAGGAUUCCGGCGGUGCCUCCUCUUCUAGUACAACUCUCUUCUCUAUCCAUACCUGAUUCGGUGCUACGGUCUCCUCUGGACGAUCCUGUUCAAGAUUUAUAUCUUUGGACCUUAUUACAUCUCCUUUGUAGUCUGCGCAUCUGUCUUUGAUGAUUUGCCUCCUCUGGUUUCAGUUGUGGCGCCUUCUUAUCAUCAUGAUCUGCUUAGAAUCUUCAACUAUAUAGUUAGAAUCAUUAAAGUAGUGGCGUACCUUCUCAGAGGGGAAGUGCAUGUGGACUUCCCCGGUUCCAAUAUAGAUGAUAGCUUUGAUAGUGUUGAGGAACGGUCUUCCAAGGAUGAUGGGUAGAUCGUACUCGUCUUCUCCCAUGUCAAUGACCUGAAAAUCAUCUGGAGUUGAAUGUAUGUUGGUUGUAGGGGCAUGGUUCCAUGCAGGAGCUGAUAAGUGACUGCGGCCAUUAUGUUGACAUCAGAUCCGGUGUCGUAGAGUGUCUUCUGAAAAGAGUAUCCAUUGAUUGUGUACUCGAUGCUUGGAACACCAGGGUCGUCCUUCUUGAUCAGGAAAGGCGACUUGAGUCGACGAUCUUGACCUCUUCCGGCAAGGAUCCAAUGUUUUAAGUCUUCUGGACAAUACUUCUCACUGUGUUCAUCCUUUAGGUGCAUCAUUUGAUUAGGUGUGGGCCUUGACAUCUGCACCUCUUGAUACGGUGUCACCCAUGUUCUUCGUUUGUCCAGCAGUUCGAGAUGUAGCAUUGGCAGCAUCUUGCUCAGUGUGUUUGUGCUCGUAAAUCCAAGUUCUUCACUUGGUGGAAUCUAGGAGUUGUGAAACUCCAUCAAGUUUUGCUCAAAGUGUACCUGCUCAUAGAGACAAGGCAGAGAUCAAGUGCAUGGGCCCUGAUGGUGAAAAACACCAACAGAACCAAAAGUGUAUUUGUUCAUCUCUAACCUUAAGCAUAGUGAGCAAGACAAAGUUGAUGGAUAAUAAGAUCAUGAGUGUAGUAUUUGAAACAUUUGUCAGAUCAGAUUGCUCAACCCAAUGGGAAGAUAAUCUAUCUAUAUUUAUGUUUUGUUUAUAUCUUCCAAAGCUUGAAUGUGCAACAUUUUAGCUUAUAUGAUUAUGAGUGUGGGAUCACGAAGGUAGUACUAAGAACAAAGAUUAAAGGACUAAACAUGUUGAAUUAGUUGGGUUGGUUAAUUUGGAUUACAAAUCAUACAUGUUUGUCUCUUUAUUUUUAUGUGAACGCCAGAACCAAGGAGAAGCUUAUAAAAGCGAUAGUCAAGUACCUUCAGAUGUUACCUUACUUGAAGAGUGAUGGUAUAGUAUCACCUUGUGGAAACUUUCCUUUCUUAGCGGUUGUGCACCGUGUUUGUGGCACUCUUUGUCUCGUUCCAUGGAUCAACUCUCUAUGAUGAAUAAGCUAUGUCUUCCUUGUGCAAAUCGUUAAACUUCAUGUGUCUCUCUCUUCAUCUCUGAUGUGAGUUUAUCUCAGGACUUCCCAAAUUGAUAUUGAAAGUUUUUCUGCAGGGGUUAGUUUGACAAAAUAUACCAAUGUCUACACAAGCAGUUUUUAGUUCAAUAACCGAACUAGACUCUAUGUCUAAUCAGAUUAAGGAAGGCUGUUUAACCUAAGCACCAUGCUUAAUUUAAAAGCCAAUAGAAGUAUGUGCAGUACUUCCAAACUAACACUUACUAGGACAAACAAAGGUAGCGUGAUGGCAUUUAUAGAGAUCUACUCAAGUGGAGAUGAAGUAGUGUCAUUAGUAUUUAACAAAUUGAGCAUGUCUCAAAGGUAGGGACAACCAACAUAGCAACAUGGCAAAGGAUGUUUUUAUGUAAAGUACUCCCCCAAGAUUGAAUUUUGCAAAAUUCAAGUUUGGAUGAAUUUAAUUCAAUGUUGCAUGAUGAUUGGCAUACCUUGUGCUUGUCAUUCCUCAGAUCUUCUUGCUCUAAUCCUAGAAAGGUUAGUGACACGAAUACCCGAAGGAAUAUUUCUACAAUUAUCUUUAUAUGCUCAAUGCACAAGGCAAUAUUGCAAAUAAUUAAAAGUUCAUGUUACGAUUUGAUAAGUGCUUGUUUAGGACACUGAGCUUGUCCUUGGGAAACCAUCAAAUUAUGUUGGUGAAGUGGUUUUCCCUCCAACACCAACCUAAGCGUGCCUAUAUCAAGAUCGACUCAACGAGAUCUGCAAUAUUUAUUAUAGACAUAUGCAUCGAUAACCACCCCUUUAAAGUUUUUAUAAAUAGAAAGGAAGAGGGGGUUGGAGAUCUCAAAUGUGGUAAGGUUGGAGAGACCAAUUGAUUGGGGAGAUGUUUUAUAUGAGCAAGGACUUGGUGAGGUAUUCAUGAAUGCUUAAAAUUCCUCUAGGAUUGUCUCUCAAGUUUGUUUUAUCCAUCCAUUCAAUGGUGAUAGCACAUGAAUUUUUAAUGCCCUCUAGCCAUCGACUUGCUCUUCUCGAUCCUCCUUGUGGUCUUGGUGACUCUUAUGCAUGGGAUGUCUAGAGAUAUUCAUAGGAUCAUCGGGAGGUUCAAGAGAAAGAGCAUAGUAGAAAGUAUUAGGCUCAAGGAUGGGAUUAAAGAUAGAUUCGAAUGAGUCAUCAAAAGUGGGCGUAGAAGGGGAGAAGGUGAGAUUGUCUUCUAAAUGGUUUCGUUCUCCUUCUAUUGCAUCACUUAAGAUGUCAUCCUUGAGUCUUUCUAGAUGUCCAUCAAAGGGAUUGGAUUUGAGAUGCUUUCUUAGAGAUCCCUUCCUAGGAAGGUUCAAACUAUAUGCACUAAAAGGUCUCUUAUGAAGCAGGAAGUUUAAGCUCAUCCCAAAAUGAAUUUCCAAAGAUAGAAUUUCUUCUUCUCUUAGAUUAUUUUGGAGCACUAUUAGUUUGGGUUGGAUAGCCGAAUCAUGGGAUUGAAAUGUUUGGAAGUCGGCUAUUGAAACUUCCUUUCCUCGUUUGGGAGAUGAUUCCUUCUCUAUCUCUAUGAUUUUUUUAUGAAGACUAGUGCAAGAAGGAUGUCCACGGAUGAAGACAUACCUUGCUUUACUAACAAAUAAAGAAAGAAAAACUCUACCAAAGGUUAUAUGAUUAAGACCAAUGUGAAAAUAUCGAGGAAAAACAUGGUCUUGUAGGGCUAGGUUUAAACCAAAAUUUAUAGAAAGAUUAAAAGAUUCCCUAGGUGCAGCUAAAAGUUCAUUAUCUUCUUGAUUAAAAGAUAGGACCACGGCUAUAGAAAAGGGUUGGUUUUGACCUAUUGCAAUCAACUCCGGACACAGAUCAUAAUUAGGGGCAAAGAAAGGACUCGUUGACUCCCAUGGUCUAUGGCUGGUCUUCGAAGGUGCAAAAAGUUCAAUAAUAGGUGUGGAAUUUGAGUUAUCCACAAGGAUGGAAAAAUAAAAAGAUAAAAGAAUAAAAGUAUAAAAGUAUAAUACAAGAUAAUAGCAAGACUAAAAGUUAUCUCAGCAAACCGUCUUUCUCCCCGGCAACGGCGCCAGAAAUGCUUGUUGAUAUUUGGUAACGCCAUCAGGAAAUGAUCCGCAAGCGCACGGAUAUCGGUAAGCACUUUACCUGGGAGGUUAUCCAGAGUAUCGUAUUUAUAUUUUUACCACUGGGAGAAAGCGUGCAUCUGACUAACCAAAUCUAUUGCUACUACCCUUUAGGCUACAAACAAUGUGAUUCGAUGUGAGCGAUGUAUAGAGAAGACUACAACCGUACUCUCGUUCUAGCCUUGGUAAUGAUGAUCUAUUGUUCUAUUGGGGAGGCUCACGGAAUAUAGACACCACAAAGGAUGUUCGACCCGCACCUAUAAACCCUAUCGAUCCUUCUAACGGGAUGUGGGCUACAAAGGUAGCUCGGAAAUGUCACGUUCCUCACUACUACCACGGUCCAGCUAGACAGGGGAUAUCUAUGAGUACCCUAGCCCAAACAACACGUUUACGCUAGUAAUGAUUACUCUAAACUCAACCGGAAGAGAUUAAAGUAAACUCAUAAACCAAAGAACAAUAAAACAAAUAACUUACUAGAAUUUAGAAGUCGGAAUACUGAAGAAUCCUAGGAGCAAGCCUCAGGUUAGGAGACUUGAUCCCGUAGGUACAACCUCGGAGUAGACACCGACAGGCCGGGCUUCCUCCGAUCUACACCUCCACUCUAUCUCUCUUAAUCUAGAAGAACUUAGAAAAACUAAUUCUAAUCUCACAUUGGAUGCUAUGCCCUAAUUCUAUAUAGAGGAAAGGUUAUCCUUCGAGGGCACCUCUCAACUCUAUAACGAUGUGUUCUCCUCCAGGGGCCAGGGGCCUUGCUUAUAUAGUCCUCCUCCUUUGUGCCUUUUUGGUUCAGCAGGCGAUGUAGUACUAAACUUUCCACCAUAUCUUAUUAAAAUGCACAUAGGCCUUAAUGGACCAAAAUCUGAUUUGGGCUCAAUUAAUCCCGCAGCUCUUUUAUGUGGAGUCCUUCUUUUAUUAAUAUCUCUUGAUUCCGAACUCCAAAUAUAGCAAAUAAUAUAUGCAUUUCGAUCAGCUCGACGAGAUCUUUGUAAUGGUGUACUCCAUUCUGUGAUUGGUGCUUGUACCAGGGCAGGCGCCCAAGGGGGGAGGGCGGGCACCCUGCCCCCGGGCCUGUUCAGCCCCCCAUUCGUUCCUGUGGCUUCUGGACUACUCUAGAUAUUAGAAAAUUACGCGGCACGUUAAUAUCUCUAUGUAAACCCGACAUGUGGGGCUUUCCUCCAUAUUUCCUGAUAACCCCCUGCAGAAAUAGACAAACACCAAAACUCGUGGAAUUCUGUCAGAUAAAACCCUAAGUCUGGGUGUUGGUUGCAUUUCGAUCCUUUUCUUUAUUUAUUUGAUGAUUAUAUUUGGUACUUAAGGACCGUCAACAGCGGCCUUGCACAGAACGUGUCUAUUGUCGUUAACAAGGUCCAUGUCCUCUUGAAUUUCUACAUCUUCGAUGUAGAGAACAUCGACCUGUUAAUUGGGCACCUGCUUAUGAGAUUCAUUGAUGAAUUUCAUAGCAGGCACCUCAAUGGUCAGAUAGGGAAGAACCUAAACCUGUCCAUUCCCUAUGUUGGCUCGAUUAACACUAAAAUCGAGCUGAAUCCCAAAACUGAUCCGAUAGAGCAGGUGAUGGCAGCCACUGACCUAGAGGCAUCACAACAUAAUCUAGAGGAGGAAGCUAAGGAUUACAUCGAAGAGCUAGAAAUAGAGCUAGAUAAACCACUAGAGCUAGAUGAAUCUGAGGCACUGUUGGCAGUCAUUAUAGACCAAUUAUAAACUACCAACUUGAUCCAAAAAUAGAAGAAGCAAUCAUAUUAUAUACACACAUCAUUUGUAGUCAAUUUAUCUCGCACCUCUCACUUGUAUCUUUAGUCUAGAUUAGUAGUUGAGCAAGGCAAGAGCUAACAAGGAGAGCUUGUCUCCUUGGAAGAAAGGAUCUUCUUGGUAUGAAUAAUAUUCAAUCUUCUUCCAUGAGCAAGUUCUAUUUAUCUUUAUAUGAUUAUGCAUAUGAACUAGAGUAUGGUUGUGUUCUCAUCAUGUUCAUAGUAUAUGAACGAGUUCUUAGUUCUUGUGCUAUGUUCUUGAUAUGUUCAUCAUUGUUCUUCAUUGUUCAUCAAAUUAGUAGGAUUAGGAUUAGAAUUAGGAAUGGGAUGAUGGUUCACUAUGCUGUGAUGGUUGCUCUUAGCCUAGCCUGUCACUCCAAAGGGGUGGGGCCCGCAGGAGUUAGGAGUUGUUUCCAAUUAUGUGAACAUGGUGUUCAGGUAUGCGGGAAUCAGUGGAUGUGCGGGUAUCUUUCGGGUAAAGGGGUAGGUGGUAGGGUAGUGACAGCUCUGUCAUCCUUUGCAUUUCCCCACGAUCAGGUAUUUCGAUAGGAGUUCUGUAAAGUCUCUAUCAGUUGGGUAUCCACCUGCGGGGAUCUCCCCUCAUCUCAGGCUUAGUUCUAACUCUAUUUAUUGCUAAUUAGAUGUUCCACUAACUGUUCUAUGCAUAGUUAUAUGUGACCCAUGCCUGCUCAAGUAGAUUUAUUUCUUUAUUCUUUAUUUAUUAUUUCUCUUCUAUUUUAUCUUUAAGGUUGAUCCAAUGUGUGUCUGUUGAUAUUUGGGAACGCAAUAAGGAAUUGAUCCGCAAGCGCACGGAUAUCGGUGAGCACUUCACCCGGGAAAUUAUCCAGAGUAUCGUAUUUAUUUUUUUACCACUAGGAGAAAGAGUGCAUCUGACUAACCGGUCUAUUACUACUAACCUUUAGGCACAAAGAAUGUCUUUCGAUGUGAGUGAUAAAUAGAGAAGACUGCAACCGUAGUCUCCUUCUAACCUUGGUAAGGAUGAUCUACUGUUCUAAUGGGGAGGCUAACGGAAUCUAGACAACACAAAGGAUGUUCGACCCGCACCUAUAAACCCUAUCCUUCCUGCUAACGAGAUGUGAUCUACAAAGGUAGCUCGGAAUUGUCACGUUCCUCACUACUACCACGGUCCAGCUAGUCAGGGAAUAUCUAUGAGUACCAUAGCCUAAACACCACGUUUACGCUAGCAAUGAUUACUCUAAACUCUACGCGAAGAGAUUAAAGUAAACUCAUAAACCAUAAGAACAAUAAAACAAGAACUUACUAGAAUUUAGAAGUCGAAUUACUGAAGAAUCCUAGGAGCAAGCUUCGGGUUAGGAGAACUUGAUCCCGCAGGUACAAGCUUGGAGUAGACACCGACAGGCCGGGCUUCCUCCAAUCAACACCUCCACUCUAUCUCUCUCAAUCUAGUAGAAACUAGAAGAUCUAUUUCUACGUUACAUUGAUUGCUAAGUCUAAAAAGAAAUAUUAAUUAGAGAAGAGGUUUUCCUUCGAGGGCACCCCUCAGUCUCUAUGAUAAUUUCUUCAUGUCUUCUCCAGGGGCCAGGGGGCCUCGCUUAUAUAGUCCUCCUCUUCUAUGCGUUUUUGGGUCGAUAGGCGAGGUGGUACUAUGUUUUUCUUGAUCCAAUAGGUCGGUGGAAUAUUCCGAGCGAAAGAGUCCUGAUUUGGCUCCAACAGGGGGGCGGGCGCCCAGGCUACCAGGGCGGGCGCCCUGGGCCUGGCCUAGUUUUGCCUCCGCUUCGGUCUCGUGGCUUCUGGAGUCUUCUAGAUGAAGUAAAAUUGCGCAGUGCGUUGAUAUCUCUAUGUAAUCCCGACAUGUGGGCCUUUCUUCCUUAUUUCCUGAUAACCCUCUGCAAAAAUAGAUAAACAACAAAACUCGUGGAAUUCUGUCAGAUCAAACCCUAAUUCUAGGUGAUGGUUGCAUAUUGAUCCUUUCUCUUGUUUAUUUGAUAAUUAAAAUUGAUACUUAAGAACCGUCAACAAAUACCCCCAUACUUAGGCUUUUACUCGUCCUCGAGAAAAGGAUGGUUAAGAACAAUAUCUAGGGUAAACAUUUAAAACAUUCUCUUUAUAUAAUUGCAGGGUGUUAAAAUUCCACUGUGUACCAUAGUCAGGGAUGUUUAUGGUUAAGAGUAAAGAUCCUUUAUUCUCAAUCCUGUCACUUGGAGUUUUUGUAUAUUUUUGAAAGAAAGUUAGCAUACCUUUUGAUCCUCAUAGGUUCUCUCAGAUCACUCAUUAUCUUUUAUAUAUAUCUCACUGAGGUUGUUUUAUUUUUUUGCAAAAAUUCUCAAGCAUUCUUACUUUGCAUUUAUUGCCUGAUCAAAACGGGAUCCGAGGAGGGGAAUGUCAUACUCUUAGAUCAAAGACUUUGGAAAUUAAAAACUUUGUCAACUCUUACUGGCAUAUUGCUUAUUAGAGGGACCAUGGGCUAUCAUUUUUUUCUCUUUUUCUUCUUUUUUUUUAAGUGGAUACCGAGGUACCCCUAAUUCUACUGCCGGACACUUGUCCAUUUUUUCUGCGAGGUUGUCGAGCACUUGCUCCUUUUUAUUUCCUCGAAAUAUCUCUAUUUUUGCAUAGCCCAUGCCUCUAAUGCAAUAAUACUUCGGAAGAGUGAAUCUUACUGAAAUAGUGUCUUGAUCUUGGGAGCAUGAUAAAUCUCUCAACAAGGGUCUAAAUCAUUUUGAACAAACUCAAUACAGAGCAGAUAGCUUUUAUAAUCAAUAUUUCAGUUUUAUCAGGCAUAUAAAACACUGAGGAUGGUAGCUAGAAAUUUGAAUAUUUUGAAAUAAAUUCUCCAAGCAACAAUGAUAUCAAGAAUAAGAAACUCAUACUCUACCAUCACAUAUUCCAUAUUGACUUAAGUAACACAGGGUUUUAAAAUGAUUUUAUAAUAAUUGCAAGUUUUCAGGAAAUAUCAUAGAUUGAGAUUAAUCAUGAUUAGAAAUAUUUUAAUCUUUUUAUUUUAUCAUGUCGGAAACAAUAAUCUGCAUAAUCCAAAAUAUAUAUAUGUGUAAAGUAAAGUGUGCAGAGUGUGUACCUGAAUCGUGGAGUGGUGUAGUUGGAGUGUGUUUGGCAUGUUGAGGGAUCUCCCCCAUACUUGUUUUCUGGCUUCUUGCACAAAAAAAUAAAGUAGAGACACACAAGACAUAAUAAUAAUAAUAGUAAUACUCUUUAUUGAUCUUGAGGCAUUUAUUACAAAAGACUAGUAGCAAACUAAUAAUAAACUGAUAUUAGCAAACUUAAACCGAAUUUAAAGAUAGAUGACUAAGAUGCAUUGCCUCCAGGUCUAAUCUAGAUAACUUAGCGGCGCUCUAAUUCCUUAAUCUUCUUGUUGGCACUGGCAAGAUCCUGCCUAAGGCCUAGUAUAAUGGUGUUGUGGUUAGAGAGCUGCCUAGUGAGGGAAUUAAUCGAGGACUGG